CUUAAUUAUCUUGAACAUAGUCAAAAGACCUUUUUGCAAAUUAUGUCGUAGCUCGCGCUUUAGUUCUACUGUUUUAGAUAUGUUCCUAGAGAAAAUACAGUUGAAAGUUGACAGUAGCGAUUAUGCGAUCAGUAGAAAGCUUAUGUCCUUAAUGCACCACUUAGUGUGCUGAACCCCAAACGUCGUUUGUGGAUGUUGCGAACAUCGGACAUACACGUUUUGAUAACUACGUGAUAGUUCAGUUAAAUGGUUUAAGUAGAGGCACCAAAGACGUUUUUCGAAACAUCGCGGAACAUAUGAGAUGUUUCGAGGGCUGAAAUUGGGAUUUCAGGCUCGUGCCCAUGUCAAGAAGUAUAAAACCUCCGACGAUUUUCUUAGCCUGCAAACUAAGGGAGAAAAGCUCAAUCGUUGAGCUUGUGCUCAGAUUGUCUGAGUGCAACAAUCACUUGAAUUGAGUGGGAGUUGAUCUUCCAAAUGAGAUAGUGAUGUUUCCCCAAAGUCAUUGCCACGAAGCUGCUAGAACUUCGUGAUGAACUAUAACAUAUCAGGGAUAGGUAUGAUGAUCCUUGAGGUAUUCGCGAUGUUUGACACCGCGAAAGUAGAAAUCAAGAAGGAGCAUCAAUUGUUAAUGGUUGGUGAAACCACUAGUUUCAAGAAGGGCAAGUGCAAGAAGGGAUACUUCAUGAAACGGCAAAUCAGCUGCUGCACCAGUGAAGAAACCCAAGGUUGAACCCAAACCCGAGACUAAGUGCUUCUGUAAUAAGGGGAACAGUCACUAGAGCAGAAUUACCCUAGAUACUUGGUAGAUGAGAAGGCUGGCAAGGUCGAUAGAAGUAUAUUGGAUAUACAUUAUGUUAAUGUGUACUUUACUAGUACUCCUAGUAGCACCAGGGUAUAAGAUACCGGUUCGGUUGCUAAGUGUUAGUAACUCGAAAUAAAAGCUACGGAAUAAACGGAGACUAGCUAAAGGUGAGCUGAUGAUAUAUGUUGGAAGUGUUUCCAAGGUUGAUAUGAUCAAGCAUCGCACGCUCCCUCUACCACCGAGAUUGGUGUUUGCGUUGAGCAUAGACAUGAUUGGAUUAUGUCUAUCGCAAUACGGUUAUUCAUUUAAGGAGAAUAAUGGUUACUCUGUUUAUUUGAAUAAUACCUUCAAUGGUCUUACACCUAAAAUGGUUUAUUGAAUCUCGAUCGUAGUGAUACACAUUUUCAUGCCAAAAGAUAUAAGAUAGUAAUGAUAGUACCACUUACUUGUGGCACUGCCAUGUAAGUCAUAAUGGUAUAAAACGCAUGAAGAAGCUCCAUGAUGAUGGAUCUUUGGACUCACUCGUUUUGAAAAGUUUGAGACAUGCGAACCAUGUCUAUUGGUGAAUAUGCAUGAAGAAACUCCAUGCAAAUGGAUCGUUCGGACUCACUUGAUUUUGAAUCACUUGAGAUAUGCAAAUCAUACCACAUGGGCAAGAUGACUGAAAAGCCUCAUUUUCAGUAAGAUGAAACAAGAUAGCAACUCGUUGGAAGUAACGCAUUUUGAUGUGUGCAGUCGAAUGAGUGCUGAGGCAUGCAGUGAAUAUCAUUAUGUUCUUACUUCACAGAUGAUUCGAGUAAAUGUUGAGUAUAUUUACUUGAUGAAACACAAGUCUGAAUUAUUGAAUGGUUCAAGUAAUUUCAGAGUGAAGUAGCAGAUCAUUGUGACAAGAGGAUAAAAUGUCUAUGAUAUGAUCAUAGAGAUGAAUAUCUGAGUUACGAGUUUUGGCACACAAUUAAGACAUUGUGGAAAUUGUUUCGCAAUUAAUACCGCCUGGAACACCAUAAUGUGAUGGUGUGUCCGAACAUCAUAGUUGCACCCUAUUGGAUAUGGUGCGUACCAUGAUGUCUCUUAUCGAAUUACCACUAUCGUUCAUGGGAUAGACAUUAGAGACAACCACAUUCACUUUAAAUAGGGCACCACGUAAUUCCGUUGAGAUGACACCGUAUGAAUUAUGGUUUAGAGAAACCUAAGUUGUCGUUUCUUAAAGGUUUGGGGCUGCGACGCUUAUCUGAAAAGGUUUCAGCUUGAUAAGCUCGAACCCAAAGCGGAUAAAUACAUCUUCAUAGGAUAACCCAAAAACAGUUGGGUAUGCCUCCUGUCUCAGAUCCGAAAGCAAUAAAGGAUUGUUUCUUGAAUCGGGUCCUUUCUCGAGGAAAGGUUUCUCUCGAAAGAGUUGAGUGGGAGGAUGGUGGAGACUUGAUGAGGUUAUUGAACCGUCUCUUCAACUAGUGUGUGGCAGGGCAUAGGAAGUUGUUCCUGUGGCACCUACACCAAUUGAAGUGGAAGCUUAUGAUAUUGAUCAUGAAACUUCGGAUCAAGUCACUACCAAACCUCGUAGGACGACAAGGACACGUACUACUUCGGAGUGGUACGGUGAUCCUGUCUUGGAAGUCAUGUUGCUAGACAACAAUGAACCUACGAGCUAUGGAGAAGCGAUGGUGGGCCCGAAUUCCGACAAAUGGUUAGAAGCCAUGAAAUCCGAGAUAGUAUCCAUAUAUCAGAACAAAGCAUGGACUUUGAUGGACUUGCCCGAUGAUCGGCAAUCCAUUGAGAUAAAUGGAUCUUUUAAGAAGAAGACGGACAUGGAUGGUAAUGUCACCAUCUAUGAAGCUCGACUUGUGGCGAAGUGUUUUCCGACAAGUUCAAGGAGUUGACUACGAUGAGAUUUUCUCACUCGUAGCGAUGCUUAAAGUCCGUCGGAAUCAUGUUAGCAUUAGCUGCAUUUAUGAAAUCUGGCAGAUGGAUGUCAAGACAAGUUUCCUUACUAGUUUUCGUAAGGAAAGGUUGUAUGCAAUACAAUCAGAAAAGUUUUGUCGAUCCUAAGGAUGCUAAAAGGUAUGCUAGCUCCAGCGAUCCUUUUAAGGACUGGAGUAGGCAUCUCGGAGUUGGAAUGUACGCUUUGAUAAGAUGAUCAAAGAUUUUGGGUCUAUACAAAGUUUAUGAGAAACUUGUAUUUCCAAAGAAGUGAGUGGGAGCACUAUAGAAUUUCUGAUGAGUAUAUGUUGUUGACAUAUUGAUGAUCAGAGAUGAUGUAGAAUUUCUAGAAAGCAUAUAGGGUUAUUUGAAAGGUGCUUUUCAAUGGAAAGCCUGGAUUAGGCUACUUGAACAUUGAGCAUCAAGAUCUAUGAGGAUAGAUCAAAAUGCUUAAUAAUACUUUCAAAUGAGCACAUACCUUGACAUGAUCUUGAAGGUGUUCAAGAUGGACCAGUCAAAGAAGGAGUUCUUGCCUGAGUUGUAAGGUACGAAGUUAAGACUUAAAGCUCGACCACGGCAGAAUAGAGAGAAAGGACGAAGGUCGUCCCCUAUGCUUAAGACGUAGGCUCUUCAGUAUGCUAUGUUGUGUACCGCACCUGAAGUGUGCCUUGCCAUGAGUCAGCCAAGGGGUACAAGAGUGAUCCAAGAAUGGCUCACAGGACAGCGGUCAAAGUUAUCCUUAGUAACUAGUGGACUAAGGAAUUUUUUAUGGAGGUGGUAAAAGAGUUCGUCGUAAAGGGUUACGUCGAUGCAAGCUUGACACCUAUCCGGAUAGCUCUGAGUAGAGAUACCGGAUACAUAUAAUGGAGCAACAAUUUAGAAUAGCUCCAAGUAGAACAGUUAUUUGGAUUAGCUCCAAAUAGAGCGUGGUAGCUACAUCUAGGAGAUGACAUAGAGAUUUGUAAAACACACAUGGAUCUGAAAGGUUCGGACCCGUUGACUAAAACCUCUCUCACAAACAACAUGAUCAAACCUAAAACUCAUUGAGUGUUAAUCACAUAGUGAUGUGAACUAGACUACUGACUCUAGUAAACUCUUGGGUAUUAGUCACAUGGUGAUGUGACCUGUGAGUGUUAAUCACAUGGCGAUGUGAACUAGAUUAUUGACUCUAGUGCAAGUGGGAGACUGUUGGAAAUAUGCCCUAGAGGCAAUAAUAAAAGUAUUAUUAUUAUAUUUCCUUGUUCAUGAUAAUUGUCUUUUAUUCAUGCUAUAACUGUAUUAUCCGGAAAUCGUAAUACACGUGUGAAUACAUAGACCACAAUAUGUCCCUAGUGAGCCUCUAGUUGACUAGCUCGUUGUGAUCAACAGAUAGUCAUGGUUUCCUGGCUAUGGACAUUGGAUGUCGUUGAUAACGGGAUCACAUCAUUAGGAGAAUGAUGUGAUGGACAAGACCCAAUCCUAAGACUAGCACAAAAGGUCGUGUAGUUCAUUUGCUAGAGCUUUGCUAAUGUCAAGUAUCUCUUCCUCUGACCAUGAGAUCGUGUAACUCAUGGAUACCGUAGGAGUGCUUUGGGUGUAUCAAACGUCACAACGUAACUGGGUGACUAUAAAGGUGCACUACAGGUAUCUCCGAAAGUAUCUAUUGUUUUAUGCGGAUCGAGACUGGGAUUUGUCACUCCGUGUAAACGGAGAGGUACCUCUGGGCCCACUCGGUAGGACAUCAUCAUAUGCGCAAUGUGACCAAGGAGUUGAUCACGGGAUGAUGUGUUACGGAACGAGUAAAGUGACUUGCCGGUAACGAGAUUGAACAAGGUAUCGGUAUACCGACGAUCGAAUCUCGGGCAAGUAACAUACCGAUAGACAAAGGGAAUUGAAUACGGGAUUGAUUAAGUCCUUGACAUCAUGGUUCAUCCGAUGAGAUCAUCGUGGAACAUGUGGGAGCCAACAUGGGUAUCCAGAUCCCGCUGUUGGUUAUUGACCGGAGAACGUCUCGGUCAUGUCUGCAUGUCUCCCGAACCCGUAGGGUCUACACACUUAAGGUUCGAUGACGCUAGGGUUAUAAAGGAAGCUUGUAUGUGGUAACUGAAUGUUGUUCGGAGUCCCGGAUGAGAUCCCGGACGUCACGAGGAGUUCCGGAAUGGUCCGGAGGUAAAGAUUUAUAUAUAGGAAGUCCUGUUUCGGCCAUCGGGACAAGUUUCGGGGUCAUCGGUAUUGUACCGGGACCACCGGAAGGGUCCCGGGGGCCCACCGGGUGGGGCCACCUGCCCCGGGGGGCCACAUGGGCUGUAGGGGGUGCACCUUGGCCUACAUGGGCCAAGGGCACCAGCCCCUAGAGGCCCAUGUGCCAAGAUAAAGGAAAAAGGGGAGAGUCCUAAAGGGGGAAGGCACCUCCGAGGUGCCUUGGGGAGGAUGGACUCCUCCCCCCUCCUUAGCCGCACCCCUUUCUUGGAGUAAGGGGCAAGGCUGCGCCUCCCCCCUCUCCCUUGCCCCUAUAUAUAGUGGAGGGGAGGGAGGGCAUCUAUACCUGAGCCUUUGGCGCCUCCCUCCCUCCCGUGACACCUCCUCCUCUCCCGUAGGUGCUUGGCGAAGCCCUGCAGAAUUGCCACGCUUCUCCAUCACCACCACGCCGUUGUGCUGCUGCUGGAUGGAGUCUUCCUCAACCUCUCCCUCUCUCCUUGCUGGAUCAAGGCGUGGGAGACGUCACCGGGUUGUACGUGUGUUGAACGCGGAGGUGCCGUCCGUUCGGCACUUGAUCAUCGGUGAUUUGAAUCACGACGAGUACGACUCCAUCAACCCCGUUCACUUGAACGCUUCCGCUUAGCGAUCUACAAGGGUAUGUAGAUGCACUCUCCCUUCUACUCGUAGCUGGUUUCUCCAUAGAUAGAUCUUGGUGACGCGUAGGAAAAUUUUGAAUUUCUGCUACGUUCCCCAACAGUAUUUACAAGAAAGUGAGUGGGAGCUCUGUAGCAUUUCUGAUAUUAUAUGUGGACGACAUAUUGUUGAUUGGAAAUGAUAUAGAAUUUCUGGAUAGCAUAAAAGGAUACUUGAAUAAAAGUUUUUCAAUGAAAGACCUCGGUGAAGCUGCUUACACAUUGAGCAUCAAGAUCUAUAGAGAUAGAUCAAGACGCUUGAUAAUUUUUUUCAAUAAGUACAUACCUUGAUAAGAUUUUGAAGUAAUUCAAAACGGAACAGUCAAAGAAGGAGUUCUUUGCAAGGUGUAAAGUUGAGUAAGACUCAAAACCCGACUAUGGCAGAAAAUAGAAAGAGAAUGAAAAGUCAUUCCCUAUGCCUCAGACAUAGGUUCUAUUAAGUAUGUUAUGCUGUGUACCAGACCUAUUGUAUACCUUGCUCUGCGUUUAGCAAGGGAGUACAAUUUUGAUCUAAGAGUAGAUCACUGGACAGUGGUCAAGAAUAUCCUUAGUGAGGACUAAGGAAAUAUUUCUCGAUAAUGGAAGUGAUAAAAGAGCUCGUCGUAAAGAGUUACAACGAUAUAAGCUUUUACACCGAUCCAAAUGACUCUAAGUCUCAAUCUGGAUACAUAUUGCAAGUGGGAGCAAUUAGCUAGAGUAGCUCCAUGCAGAGCAUUGUAAACAUAGAAUAUUUGCAAAAGACAUACGGCUCUGAAUGUGACAGAUCCGUUGACUAAACUUCUCUCAUGAGCAAAACAUGAUCACACCUUAGUACUCUUUGGGUGUUAAACACAUAUCAAUGUGAACUAGAUUAUUGACUCUAGUAAACCCUUUGGGUGUUGAUCACAUGAUGAUGUGAACUAUGGGUAUUAAUGAUACACAGAUAUGAAUAUUGGUGUUAAAUCACAUGAUGAUGUGAACUAGAUUAUUGGCUCUAGUGCAAGUGGGAGACUGAAGGAAAUAUGCCCUAGAGGCAAUAAUAAAGUUACUAUUUAUUUCCUUAUUUCAUGAUAAAUGUUUAUUAUUCAUGCUAGAAUUGUAUUAACCGGAAACAUAAUACAUGUGUGAAUACAUAGACAAACAUAGUGUCACUAGUAUGCCUCUACUUGACUAGCUCGUGAAUCAAAGAUGGUUAAGUUUCCUAGACAUAGACAUGAGUUGUAAUUUUAUUAAUGGGAUCAAAUCAUUAGGAGAAUGAUGUGAUUGACUUGACCCAUUCCGUUAGCUUAGCACUUGAUCAUUUAGUAUAUUGCUAUUGCUUUCUUCAUGACUUAUACAUGUUCCUAUGACUAUGUGAUUAUGCAACUCCCGUUUACUGGAGGAACACUUUGUGUGCUACCAAACAUCACAACGUAACUGGGUGAUUAUAAAGGAGCUCUACAGGUGUCUCCAAAGGUACAUGUUGAGUUGGCAUAUUUCUCGAUUAGGAUUUGUCACUCCGAUUGUCGGAGAGGUAUCUCUGGGCCCUCUCGGUAAUGCACAUCACUAUAAGCCUUGCAAGCAAUGUAGCUAAUGAGUUAGUUGCGGGAUGAUGCAUUACAUAACGAGUAAAGAGACUUGCCGGUAAUGUGAUUGAACUAGGUAUUGAGAUACCGAUGAUCGAAUCUCGGGCAAGUAACAUACCGAUGACAAAGGGAACAACGUAUGUUAUUAUGCGGUUUGACCGAUAAAGAUCUUCGUAGAAUAUGUAGGAGUCAAUAUGAGAAUCCAGGUUCCACUAUUGGUUAUUGACCAGAAACGUUUCUCGGUCAUGUCUACAUAGUUCUCGAACCCGUAGGGUCCGCACGCUUAAGGUUUCGAUGACAGUUAUAUUAUGAGUUUAUGAGUUUUGAUGUACCAGAGGAGUUCGGAGUCCCGGAUGAGAUCGGGGACAUGACGAGGAGUCUCGAAAUGGUCGAGACAUAAAUAUCGAUAUAUUGGACAACUAUAUUCGGACAUCGGAAAGGUUCCGAGUGAUUCGGGUAUUUAUCGGAGUACCAAAGAGUUACGGGAAUUCGCCGGGGAGAAGUAUUGGGCCUUAUUGGGCCAUACGGGAAAGAGAGAGGGGCUGCCUAGGGCACCAAUAGAAAAACACCUAUUAGUCCCGGUUGCUGAGGGCCUUUUGUCCCGGUUCUUGAACCGGGACUAAAGGGUCGUUACUAAUGCCCUAGACCUUUAGUCCCGGUUCUAACCCAAACUGGGACAGAUGGGCCUCCACGUGGCCGGUGCGCCGAGCCCAGGAAAGAGGGCCUUUCGUCCUGGUUGGUGGCACCAACCGGGACCAAAAGUCGUCCACGCGUCAGNNNNNNNNNNNNNNNNNNNNNNNNNNNNNNNNNNNNNNNNNNNNNNNNNNNNNNNNNNNNNNNNNNNNNNNNNNNNNNNNNNNNNNNNNNNNNNNNNNNNNNNNNNNNNNNNNNNNNNNNNNNNNNNNNNNNNNNNNNNNNNNNNNNNNNNNNNNNNNNNNNNNNNNNNNNNNNNNNNNNNNNNNNNNNNNNNNNNNNNNNNNNNNNNNNNNNNNNNNNNNNNNNNNNNNNNNNNNNNNNNNNNNNNNNNNNNNNNNNNNNNNNNNNNNNNNNNNNNNNNNNNNNNNNNNNNNNNNNNNNNNNNNNNNNNNNNNNNNNNNNNNNNNNNNNNNNNNNNNNNNNNNNNNNNNNNNNNNNNNNNNNNNNNNNNNNNNNNNNNNNNNNNNNNNNNNNNNNNNNNNNNNNNNNNNNNNNNNNNNNNNNNGGGGUUGGGGGUUUUGGGGGGUUAAUUUAGGUGUUUCAUAUAUUGUGUUAGCUAGCUAAUUAAUAGAGAGAAGUGUCCUCUCUUAUGUACGUGCUUGGUCGACGCUAUGUACUAUACAUAGAGAGGCCCUCGACACGCUAGCUAGUAAGAAAAUGAAGGGAACCAUUAAGUACAGAAGUUCGUCAUGCAUACCAAGAGAAGUGAUCGAUCGACCUCUCCUUCUCCGAGAGAUUGGUCGAACAACAAGUUUUCUUAUUAUCUAUCUGACACUACUGGCUACAUACAUAUACAAUAUGUAAGAUCGCUUACAAUCCCCUAGCAAUUGAAAUCAACUUCCACAUGGUAUUAUCCGACUUUAUUGAUGACGUGGUCGAGAAAGAAUCCCGCCAAUUCCUCUUGAAUUGCUUUCAUGCGAUCUUGUUCUAGGAGUUCAUUCCGCAUCUGCCACGUCUAAUUUGAAGAAGGGGGUUAAUUAAUACAUAUAUAUGAAUGAAACUCAACAGAAAUGAUGGUGUAAUAAAAUGAAAUUGCGAAUAUUAUUGCUUGCGCACUUCAUAUUGUCUUUUAGAGUAGCCCCGCUUAUUUUUCAAAGUCGCGUUGUAGAUGAACUCGCACACGUAGUAUCCACAUAAAUCAUUCCCUUGUUCCUGCCACAAGCACUUUACGAGAAAUAGAGGUCAAUCAAACUGAUAAUGAAGCAAUAUAAAUGGCAUUGAUGAAAGUAUAGCUAUAGAAUCAACGGGAGACGCGUGCAACUAGCUAGCCAGUAGUACUUACUUUCGGGCAUGUAUAUCGCAGCUCCUUUGGCAGUCCCGGAGCUUCUGCGGUGAACUGUUUCCAAACCCUGCAAGACAAAUUAAAUAAUAAUUAUUACUUGAGAUAUCAGGAAAUGAACAAAAAGUUGCUGAUAUGGUGCGAUAAUGAUCGAUUAAACUUACUUGUUGAGCAAUUUAGUCAUGUCCGCAUAGGUUUCGGGAUCUUUUCGUCUCGAGUCUAAGACGGUUACUAGUCCCCGCUCAAGCUUAAUCUCUAGAAGAACAUAGUGGAAGAUGCACACGCAUGCAUAACUCAUCAAUUACAUUACUAUAACCUCGCUUGAGUAAUAAGGGAAACUGAAUAUGCACACGACAGUAACACUCACUCGAAGUUGUAAGGAAAGAAUAUGGUAUCUUUGUUUUGAUUUUUGAUCAAUGAUUGUAGCAAGUUGGCCUCGGCCUCUUCGGCGUGCUUUUUAACCUGAAUUUCAUCUAUGAUAUUUGUGUUAAUGAACCCAAUAUCAUACAUUUCUUGUUUUAUACACUCGACAAUCUUCAAUCUACAUAAUAUAUUGAGGAUAAUUAAUUAUAAAUACAUCCAAUGAAAGAGGUGAGCUAUAUAUAGAGACUUAAUGACAGAAAUAGUACUUACAGACAAUAGCAAAAGACCGUUAAUUUAUCGAGGGCCUUUUGAUUGAAGAACUCGAAGAACUCCUCAAAUGGAACAGGCAACAAAUCAGUUCCAACGAGGUCGUGCUCCUCUUUAAUUCUCAGAUACAAACUAUUCGUCCCCCCAGACUCUCUGCAGGUUUUCAUGUACCAAUUAUGGAAUCUUCGCAUCAUCGUUGUUAGAGAUUUUUCAUCUUUGACGAGAGGCUUCCCGUACUCGUAUCUGUGUUCGUCCACCUCCAUGAAAUCAGGAAGUUGAUCGUCAGGCAGGUAAUCUGCAAGAUUGCCAUAACCGGCCACCUCCCCGGAGCAUUCGCGACGAUGUCGCUGCUAGACACAUUGAGCGGGGGGCACGAUUGAUUUGCUUGUUCGCCGAGCUGGGCAAUUUUUUUCGCAGCUGCUCGUUCUUUUGACCUUUGAUGUCCGACAGUACUUCCGGACCGCUCCGCUUGGAGAUAUGUCUGUUCACUAAUGCACUCAUAGUUGGUUCUCGGUGGAGACUUUGCUGGUUUCCUCAGGGCAUCGAGAGUGCGCUUUGCUUUCACCGGAUCUACCUUCUCCUCCGGAGGUGGAUGUCUCUUUGCUUUCAACCCUUCAAAGAAGUCGUCCACUUCGGCCCGCACGAUCUUCGCGUUUUCCUCCUCGGUCCUCUCGUACGGUAACUUCUCUAGAGGCUUGAGAGAAGGACCGUAUUUGUAUUGCCUCCCGCCUCUGGCUGAACGGCUAGACGCCGGAGCAGACGGAGCGGCUGCGGCAUCUGUCUUCUUUCGUGCUUGCUUACGAGGCGGAGGAGAAGGACUACGAUGCGCCGGAGCAGCCGGGGCCGUGGCGGGUCUCUUUCGCCCUUGCUGGCGAGGUAGAGAAGGAGGAGGUUGCUGGCUACUCGGGCGCGCCGGCGCAGGCGGAGAAGGAGGCCUAGUGCCCUGAUCAUCACUCGCCGGAGGAGGAGGCGGUGGAGGAGGCGGAGUGCCCUGACUCACCGGAGGAGGAGGAGGAGGCGGAGGCGUCCAGUUCGGAAGGUUGAUGAGCUCCUUCCGCCAUAGGCAUGGAGUCUUCAGAGCAGAACCCAGCCUAGUCUCCCCUUCAUCGGUAGGGUGGUCAAGCUGGAUGUCCUCAAAUGCCUCCGUUAUUUCAUCCACCAUCACCCUAGCAUAUCCUUCUGGAAUCGGCCGGCAGUGAAAAGUUGCGCCGGGUUCAGUAGGAUAAACAAAGCCAACAGCCGCCUUGACCUUCAAAUUCAUCCAUUGCGUCAUUAUGUGGAAAUUUUGAGACUCCCUGAUAGCAUCCACGGGAUAGCUGGCAGGAGCCGUCAAGAUAUGCUCCGGCUAAAGCAGCUCGGUGGAAGCCAUGCUGCUUCUCCGCUGAGAUGGCGGGGUAGCUUCGGGGGAAGCUUCGGCAGGUCGUUUGCUGCGAUCUGCUUCUCGUUCCUCUAGCCCCAUUACCCUUUCGUGCAGCGCCUGUAGUUGGCUUUGCUCCAGUUUCUUCCUCCUCUCUUGGGUUUUGUAACCCCCUGCGUCCGGAAACCAACCUUCCACGGAAUGGAGCCUGGCGUGCCUCGUGUCCGUCCAGGGUGCUCAGUAUUCCCGAGGGCCAUUGUGAGCUUGUCCUUCUCCCUGUCUGGAACAAACGUCCCUUGCUGCGCUGCAUCGAUAUAGUGCCGAAGCUUGUUGACUGGUAUUUUCAGUUGCUCGUCCGUCCAACGGCACUUCCUUGAUACAGGGUCCAAGGUUCCGCCAGCCCCGAAGAACCAAGUCCGGCAACGGUCUGGCCAGUUCAUUGUCUCUGGUUCGAUCCCUUUAUCAAGCAGAUCAUUCUCAGCCUUGGACUACUUAGGCCAGGCUUUGAGGUAGCCACCUGACCCCGUGCGAUGGUGAAACUUCUUCUUCGCAGCAUUUUUCUUGUUUGUCGCCGACAUCUUCUUACUAUUUUCCGAUGUCUUGUGGGCCACAAAUGCGGGCCAGUGAUCUUUGAUCUUCUCAUAUUUGCCGAUGAAUUCUGGUAUCUCUUCUUUGUCGACAAACUUGUUCAGCUCUUUCCUCCACCUCCUGGAUAGGCUUGCCAUCUUCUUAAGAGCAUAAGACUUGAUUAAUUGCUCUUUAACUGGCUUCUCCGGAUCCUCCUCUGGCGGUAGGGUGAAAUUUGCCUUCAACUCAGUCCAAAGAUCAUCUUUCUGCAUAUCAUUGACAUAAGACACCUCAGGGUCUUCCUCCUUAGGCUUAUACCAUUGGUGGAUGCUGAUCGGGAUCUUGUCCCUAACAAGAACCCCGCACUGAGCAGCAAAUGCGUUCUUUGUCCGGAUGGGUUCAAUCGGUUCGCCGUCGGGCGUGAUUGCUGUGAUCUCAAACCUUUCAUCCGAGCUCAACUUUUUCUUCGGGCCUCGUCUCCUUACCAAAGUUGUGCUCGAUCCGGAGGGCUAGAAAAAGGAAGAAAGACGAGAGUUAAUUAAUAUGUGUACAUAUACCAAAACAAUGAAUGCAUCAAUUAACUAGUUAGCACGGGCUUAACUAAUAUAUAUAUAUUGGAAAAAUGCCCUAGAGGCAAUAAUAAAAUGGUUAUUAUUAUAUUUCUUUGUUCAUGAUAAUUGUCUAUUGUUCAUGCUAUAAUUGUAUUAUCCGGAAAUCGUAAUACAUGUGUGAAUACAUAGACCACAACAAGUCCCUAGUGAGCCUCUAGUUAACUAGCUCGUUGAUCAACAAAUAGUCAUGGUUUCCUGACUAUGGACAUUGGAUGUCAUUGAUAACGGGAUCACAUCAUUAGGAGAAUGGUGUAAUGGACAAGACCCAAUCCUAAGCAUAGCACAAAGAUCGUGUAGUUCGUUUCGCUAGAGCUUUUCCAAAUGUCAAGUAUCAUUUCCAUAGACCAUGAGAUUGUGCAACUCCCGGAUACCGUAGGAGUGCUUUGGGUGUGCCAAACGUCACAAGUAACUGGGUGACUAUAAAGGUGCACUACGGGUAUCUCCGAAAGUGUCUGUUGGGUUGACACGAAUCGAGACUGGGAUUUGUCACUCCGUAUGACGGAGAGGUAUCUCUGGGCCCACUCGGUAAUGCAUCAUCAUAAUGAGCUCAAUGUGACCAAGUGUCUGGUCACGGGAUCAUGCAUUACGGUACGAGUAAAGUGACUUGCCGAUAACGAGAUUGAACGAGGUAUUGGGAUACCGACGAUCGAUUCUCGGGCAAGUAACGUACUGAUUGACAAAGGGAAUUGUAUACGGGAUUGAUUGAAUCCUCGACAUCGUGGUUCAUCCGAUAAUAUCAUCGAGGAGCAUGUGGGAGCCAACAUGGGUAUCCAGAUCCCGCUGUUGGUUAUUGACCGGAGAGGCGUCUCAGUCAUGUAUGCAUGUCUCCCGAACCCGUAGGGUCUACACACUUAAGGUUCGGUGACGCUAGGGUUGUAGAUAUAUCAGUAUGCAGUAACCCGAAAGUUUUUGGGAGUCCCGGAUGAGAUCCCGGACGUCACGAGGAGUUCCGGAAUGGUCCGGAGGUGAAGAAUUAUAUAUAGGAAGUGCAGUUUCGGCCAUCGGGAAAGUUUCGGGGGUCACCGGUAUUGUACCGGGACCACCGGAAGGGUCCCGGGGGUCCACCGGGUGGGGCCACCUAUAUCGGAGGGCCCCAUGGGCUGAAGUGGGAGGGUAACCAGCACUUGGUGGGCUGGUGCGCCCCCCUUGCCCCCCCUGCGCCUAGGGUUGGAAACCCUACGGGUGGGGGCGCCUCCACUUGCCUUGGGGGGCAAGCCACCCCCUUGGCCGCCGCCCCCCUGGAGAUCCCAUCUCCUAGGGACGGCGCCCCCCAGGGGGCCUAUAUAAAGAGGGUGGGAGGGAGGGCAUCCGCACCCAAGUCCCUGGCGCCUCCCUCUCCCCACGCACCACCUCUCCCUCUCGCAGAAGCUUGGCGAAGCCCUGCCGUGAUCACUGCUGUAUCCAUCACCACGCCGUCGUGCUGCUGGAUCUUCAUCAACCUCUCCUUUCCCCUUGCUGGAUCAAUAAGGAGGAGACGUCUUCCCAACUGCACGUGUGUUGAACGCGGAGGUGUCGUCCGUUUGGCACUAGGAUCUCCGGUGAUUUGGAUCACGACGAGUAUGAUUCCCUCAACCUCGUUCUCUUGAACGCUUCCGCGCGCGAUCUACAAGGGUAUGUAGAUGCACUCCUCUCUCUCGUUUCUGGAUGUCUCCAUAGAUUGAUCUUGGUGAAGCGUAGAAAUUUUUUAUUUUCUGCAACGUUCCCCAACAGUGGCAUCAUGAGCUAGGUCUAUGUGUAGUUAGUAUGCACGAGUAGAACACAAACUUGUUGUGGGCAUAGAUGUUGUCAAUUUUCUUGCCACUACUAGUCUUAUCUUGCUUCGGCAGCAUCGUGGGAUGAAGCGGCCCGGACCGACCUUACACAUACGCUUACGUGAGACAGGUUCCACCGACUGACAUGCACUAGUUUCAUAAUGUGGCUAGCGGGUGUCUGUCUCUCCCACUUUAGUUGGAGCGGAUUCGAUGAAAAGGGUCCUUAUGAAGGGUAAAUAGAAAUUGUCAUAUCACGUUGUGGUUUUAUGUAGGUAAGAAAUGUUCUUGCUAGAAACCUAUAGAAGCCACGUAAAAACUUGCAACAACAAUUAGAGGACAUCUAACUUGUUUUUGCAGCAAGUGCUUUGUGAUGUGAUAUGGCCAAAGGAUGUGAUGAAUGAUAUAUGUGAUGUAUGAGAUGAUCAUGUUCUUGUAAUAGGAAUCACGACUUGCAUGUCGAUGAGUAUGACAACCGGCAGGUGCCAUAGGAGUUGUCUUUAUUUUUGUAUGACCUGCGUGUCAUUGAAGAACGCCAUGUAAAUUACUUUACUUUAUUGCUAAACUCGUUAGCCAUAGAAGUAGAAGUAGUCGUUGGCGUGACAACUUCAUGAAGACACGAUGAUGGAGAUCAUGAUGAUGGAGAUCAUGGUGUCAUGCCGGUGACGAAGAUGAUCAUGGCGCCCCGAAGAUGGAGAUCAAAGGAGCAAUAUGAUAUUGGCCAUAUCAUGUCACUAUUUGAUUGCAUGUGAUGUUUACCAUGUAUUACAUCUUAUUUGCUUAGAACAACAGUAGCUUAAAUAAGAUGAUCCCUCGAAAUAAUUUCAAGAAAAGUGUCCCCCUAACUGUGCACCGUUGCGAAGGUUCGUUGUUUCGAAGCACCACAUGAUGAUCGGGUGUGAUAGAUCCUAACGUUCGAAUACAACGGGUGUAAGCCAGAUUUACACACGCAAUACACUUAGGUUGAAUUGAUGAGCCUAGCAUGUACAGACAUGGCCUCGGAACACGGAAGACCGAAAGGUCGAGCAUGAGUCGUAUAGAAGAUACGAUCAACAUGGAGAUGUUCACCGAUGAUGACUAGUCCGUCUCACGUGAUGAUCGGACACGGGCUAGUCGAGUCGGAUCAUGUAUCACUUAGAUGACUAGAGGGAUGUCUAAUCUGAGUGGGAGUUCAUUGUAUAAUUUUAUUAGAUGAACUUAAUUAUCAUGAACUUAGUCUAAAAACCUUUGCAAAAUUUCUUGUAGAUCAAAUGGCCAACGCUCAUGUCCACCUCAACUUCAACGCGUUCCUAGAGAAAACCAAGCUGAAAGAUGAUGGUAGCAACUAUACGGACUAGGUCCAGAACCUGAGGAUCAUCCUCAUAGCUGCCAAGAAAGAUUAUGUCCUAGAAGCACCGCUAGGUGAAGCACCCAUCCCAGAGAACCAAGACGUUAUGAACGCUUGGCAGUCUUGUGCUGAUGAUUACUCCCUCGUUUAGUGCGGCAUGCUUUACAGCUUAGAACCGGGGCUCCAAAAGCGUUUUGAGCAACACGGAGCAUAUGAGAUGUUCGAAGAGCUGAAAAUGGUUUUCCAAGCUCAUGCCUAGGUCGAGAGAUAUGAAGUCUCCGACAAGUUCUUCAGUUGUAAGAUGGAGGAAAAUAGUUCUUUCAGUGAGCACAUACUCAAGAUGUCUGGGUUGCACAACCGCUUGACUCAGCUGGGAGUUAAUCUCUCGGAUGACGCGGUUAUUGGCAGAAUCCUUCAGUCGCUUCCACCGAGCUACAAGAGCUUUGUGAUGAACUUCAAUAUGCAGGGGAUGGGAAAGACCAUUCCUGAGGUAUAUUCAAUGCUGAAAUCAGCGGAGGUAGAGAUCAAAAAGGAACAUCAAGUGUUGAUGGUGAAUAAAACCACUAAGUUCAAGAAGGGCAAGGGUAAGAAGAACUUCAAGAAGGACGGCAAGGGAGUUGCCGCGCCCGGUAAGCCAGUUGCCGAGAAGAAGUCAAAUAAUGGACCCAAGCCUGAGACUGAGUGCUUUUAUUGCAAGGGAAGUGGUCACUGGAAGCGGAACUGCCCCAAGUACUUAGCGGACAAGAAGGCUGGCAAAACCAAAAGUAUAUGUGAUAUACAUGUAAUUGAUGUGUACCUUACCAGUGCUCAUAGUAGCUCCUGGGUAUUUGAUACCGGUGCGGUUGCUCAUAUUUGUAACUCAAAGCAGGAGCUGCGGAAUAAACGGAGACUGGCGAAGGACGAGGUGACGAUGCGCGUCGGGAAUGGUUCCAAGGUCGAUGUGAUCGCCGUCGGCACGCUACCUCUACAUUUACCUACGGGAUUAGUUUUAAACCUCAAUAAUUGUUAUUUUGUACCAGCUUUGAUCAUGAACAUUGUAUCAGGAUCUCGUUUAAUUCGAGAUGGCUACUCAUUUAAAUCCGAGAAUAAUGGUUGUUCUAUUUAUAUGAGAGAUAUGUUUUAUGGUCAUGCCCCACUGGUGAAUGGUUUAUUCUUAAUGAAUCUCGAACAUAAUGUUACACAUAUUCAUAGUGUGAAUACCAAAAGAUGUAAAGUUGAUAACGAUAGUCCCACAUACUUGUGGCACUGCCGCCUUGGUCACAUUGGUGUCAAGCGCAUGAAGAAGCUCCAUGAUGAUGGACUUUUAGAGUCUCUCGAUUAUGAAUCAUUUGACACAUGCGAACCAUGCCUCAUGGGAAAAAUGACUAAGACUCCGUUCUCCGGAACAAUGGAGCGAGCAACCAACUUAUUGGAAAUCAUACAUAGUGAUGUGUGCGGUCCAAUGAGCGUCGAGGCUCACGGAGGCUAUCGUUAUGUUCUCACCCUCACUGAUGACUUGAGUAGAUAUGGGUAUGUCUACUUGAUGAAACACAAGUCUGAGACCUUUGAAAAGUUCAAGGAAUUUCAGAAUGAGGUAGAGAAUCAACGUGACCGAAAGAUAAAGUUCUUACGAUCAAAUCGUGGGGGAGAAUAUUUAAGUCAUGAAUUUGGUACACACUUAAGGAAAUGUGGAAUCGUUUCACAACUCACGCCGCCUGGAACACCUCAGUGUAACGGUGUGUCCGAAUGUCGUAAUCGCACUUUAUUGGAUAUGGUGCGGUCUAUGAUGUCACUUACCGAUUUACCGCUAUCAUUUUGGAGAUACGCUCUAGAGACAGCUACAUUCACUUUAAAUAGGGCACCGUCUAAAUCCGUUGGGACGACACCGUAUGAAUUAUGGUUUGGGAAGAAACCUAAGCUGUCGUUUCUAAAAGUUUGGGGAUGCGAUGCUUAUGUCAAGAAACUUCAACCUGAAAAGCUCGAACCCAAGUCGGAAAAAUGCGUCUUCAUAGGAUACCCUAAGGAAACCAUUGGGUAUACCUUCUACUUAAGAUCCGAGGGCAAGAUCUUUGUUGCCAUGAACGGGUCCUUUCUGGAGAAAGAGUUUCUCUCGAAAGAAGUAAGUGGGAGGAAAGUGGAACUUCAUGAAGUACUACCUCUUGAACCGGUAAGUAGCGCAGCUCAGGAAGAUGUUCUUGUGGUGCCUGCACCAACUGGAGAGGAAACAAAUGAUGAUGAUCAAGGUACUUCGGAUCAAGUUACUACUGAACUUCGUAGGUCCACGAGGACACGUUUGAUGUCUACUACACAACCUUCUUCUUGUAGACGUUGUUGGGCCUGCAAGUGCACAGGUUUGUAGGACAGUAGCAAAUUUCCCUCAAGUGGAUGACCUAAGGUUUAUCCAUCUGUAGGAGGCGUAGGAUGAAGAUGGUCUCUCUCAAAAAACCCUACAACCAAAUAACAAAAAGUCUCUUGUGUCCCCAACACACCCAAUACAAUGGUAAAUUGUAUAGGUGCACUAGUUCGGCCAAGAGAUGAAGAUACAAGUGCAAAAUAGAUAGUACAUAUAGGUUUUUGUAAUCUGAAAUAAUAAAAACAGCAAGGUAACGAGCGAUAAAAGUGAGCGUAAACGGUAUUGCAAUGAUAGGAAACAAGGCCUAGGGUUCAUACUUUCACUAGUGUAAGUUCUCUCAACAAUAAUAACAUAGAUAGAACAUAUGACAAGCCCUCAACAUGCAACAAAGAGUCACUCCAAAGCCACUAAUAGCGGAGAACAAACAUAGAGAUUAUGGUCGGGUACGAAACCACCACAAAGCUAUUCUUUCGGAUUGAUCUAUAAAAGAGUUCGUACUAGAAUAACACCUUAAGACACAAAUCAACCAAAACCCUAAUGUCACCUAGAUACUCCAUUGUCACCUCAAGUAUCCGUGGGCAUGAUUAUACGAUAUGCAUCACACAAUCUCAGAUUCAUCCAACCAACAUAAAAGUACUUCAAAGAGUGCCCCAAAGUUUCUACCGGAGAGUCAAGAACGUGUGCCAACCCCUAUGCAUAGGUUCCCAAGUGUCACGAAACCCGCAAGUUGAUCACCAAAACAUACAUCAAGUGGAUCAAUAGAAUAACCCAUUGUCACCACGGUUAUCCCACGCAAGACAUACAUCAAGUGUUCAUAAAAGACUCAAUCCGAUAAGAUAACUUCAAAAGGGGAAACUCAAUUCAUCACAAGAGAGUAGAGGGGGAGAAACAUCAUAAGAUCCAACUACAAUAGCAAAGCUCGGGAUACAUCAAGAUUGUGCCAUGGAAGAACACGAGAGAGAACACGAGAGAGAGAGAUCAAACACAUAGCUACUGGUACAUACCCUCCGCCCCGAGGGUGAACUACUCCCUCCUUGUCAUGGAUAGCGCCGGGAUGAUGAAGAUGGCCUCCGAUGAUGGGAUCCCCCUCCGGCAUGGGUGCCAGAACAGGGUCCCGAUUGGUUUUUGGUGGCUACAGAGGCUUGCGGCAGGGGAACUCCCGAUCUAUUUUCUGUUCUAGAAGUUUUAGGGUACGUAGGUAUAUAUGGGUGCAAGGGGUACGUCGGUGGACCUCCGGGUGGCUCACGAGGUAGGGGGCGCGCCCUCCACCCUCAUGGACAGCCCGGGACUCCCCUAGCGUGCACUCCAGGCCCAUCAGGUUGGUUUCCUUCCAAAAUUAACUUCUCCAGUUGAUUUUGUUCCGUUUUGACUCCGUCUGAUAUUCCUUUUCCUCGAAACACUGAAAUAGGCAUAAAACAGCAAAUCUGGACUGGGCCUCCGGUUAAUAGGUUAGUCCCAAAAAUAAUAUAAAAGUGGAUAAUAAAGCCCAAUAUUGCCUAAAAUAGUAGAUAAAGUAGCAUGGAGCAAUCAAAAAUAUAGAUACGUUGGAGACGUAUCACGCAUCCCCAAGCUUAAUUCCUGCUCGUCCUCGAGUAGGUAAAUGAUAAAAAAGAAUUUUUGAUGCGGAGUGAUACUUUGGCAUAAUUUCAAUGUAAAUCUUCUCAAAUUGUGAUAUGAAUAUUCAGAUCCGAAAGAUUCAAGACAAAAGUUCAUAUUGACACAAAAAUAAUAAUACUUGAAGCAUACUAAUCAAAGCAAUCAUGUCUUCUCAAAAUAACAUGGCAAAAGAAAGUUCAUUCCUACAAAAUCAUAUAGUUAUGCUAUGCUUCAUUUUCGUCACACAAAGAUGUUCCCAACUUCUAUACCCCCGAUGACAAGCCAAGCAAUUGUUUCAUACUUAAAUAAUCUCAAACUUUUUCAACCUUCACGCAAUACAUGAGCGUGAGCCAUGGAUAUAGCACUAUGGGUGGAAUAGAAUAUGAUGAUGGGGAUUGUGCGGAGAAGACAAAAAAGGAGAAAGUCUCACAUCGACGCGGCUAAUCAACGGGCUAUGGAGAUGCCCAUCAAUUGAUGUCAAUGCGAGGAGUAGGGAUUGCAAUGCAACGGAUGCACUAAGAGCUAUAAGUGUAUGAAAGCUCAACAAAAGAAACUAAGUGGGUGUGCAUCCAACUUGCUUGCUCAUGAAGACCUAGGGCAUUUGAGGAAGCCCAUCAUUGUAAUAUACAAGCCAAGUUCUAUAAUGAAAAUUCCCACUAGUAUAUGAAAGUGAUAACACAUGAGACUCACUACAUAAAAAGCAUGGUGCUACUUUGAAGCACAAUAUAUGAGACUCUCUACAUGAAGAACAAGGUGCUACUUUGAAGCACAAGUGUGGAAAAAGAGAUAGUACCAUUGCCCUUUCCCUUUUUUGGGCCUUUAUCUUUUUUUAUAUAUUUUGGCCUUUCUCUUUUUUGGGGGGGCAAUGCUCUAAUAAUGAUGAUCAUCACACUUCUAUUGAUUACAACACAUGGAUUACAACUCGAAACUUUGAACAAGAUAUGACUCUAUAUGAAUGCCUCCGGCGGUGUACCGGGAUGGUGCAAUGAAUCAAGAGUGACAUGUAUGGAAAAUAAUGCAUGGUGGCUUUGCCACAAAUACGAUGUCAACUACGUGAUCAUGCAAUGGCAAUAUGACAAAAGUAAUGCAUGUCAUGAUGAUGAUGGUGGAAGUUGCGUGGCAAUAUAUCUCGGAAUGGCUAUGGAAAUGCCAUAAUAGGUAGGUAUGGUGGCUGUUUUGAGGAAGAUAUAAGGAGGUUUAUGUGUGAUAGAGCGUAUCGUAUCACGGAGUUUGGAUGCACCGGCGAAGUUUGCACCAACUCUCAAGGUGAGAAAGGGCAAUGCACGGUACCGAAGUGGCUAGCAAUGGCGGAAAGGUGAGAGUGCGUAUAAUCCAUGGACUCAACAUUAGUCAAAAGAACUCAUAUACUUAUUGCAAAAAUUUAGAAGUCAUCAAAAAUUCAAGUACUACGCGCAUGCUCCUAGGGGGAUAGAUUGGUAGGAAAAGACCAUCGCUCGUCCCCGACCGCCACUCAUAAGGAUGCACAAGCCAGGUACACUUCAUGUUUCAAAUUUGUUACAUAACUUUAACCAUACGUGCAUGCUACGGGACUUGCAAACUUCAACACAAGUAUUUCUCAAAUUCAUAAUCACCCAACUAGCAUGACUUUGAUAUUAUCACCUUCAUAUCUCAAAACAAUUAUCAGGCAUCAAACUUAUCUUAGUAUUCAACGCACUCAAAAGAAAGUUUCACAUAUCUUGAACACCAAAUAUAUUAUCAUUAAGCAAACUACCAUGAUAUUAAUGACUCUCAAAAUAAUAUAAGUGAAGCAUGAGAAUUCAUCUAUUUCUUCAAAAUAAAACUACCACCAUGCUCUAAAAGAUAUAAGUGAAGCACUAGAGCAAAAAUUAUCACGCUCAAAAGAUAUAAGUGAAGCACACAGAGUAUUUUAACAAAUUCCAAUUCAUGUAUGGCUCUCUCUCAAUAAAAGAUUUCAGAUCUUGAUACUUUAUUCAAACAGCAAGCAAAGCUAAAGAAAACUACAAUGCAAGGAUAGCACAACUUAUGUGAAGAAGCAAAAACUUAGGCUCAACCGAUACUAACCGAUAGUUGUUGAAGAAGAAAGGUGGGAUGCCUACCGGGGCAUCCCCAAGCUUAGAUGCUUGGGACUUCUUGGAAUAUUAUCUUGGGGUGCCUUGGGCAUCCCCAAGCUUGAACUUUUGUGUCUCCUUAAUUCCUAUUUUAUCAUGGUUUCUCUUCUUAUCAAAAGCUUCAUUCACAACAAACUCAACAAGAACUUAGGUUAGUAUAAAAAAUGCAAAACCUUAUCAUUUUCUACUGUAACAAAUCACUUAAAUUAUUAUUCCACUUUGAAUACUAAAUGCCUCUGCAUAUUUAAUACUCCUAUCCUCAAAUAGAAUCAUUAAACAAGCAAACAUAUGCAAACAAUGCAACCAUAACAGCAAUCUGCCAAAACAGUACAGUCUGUAAAGAAUGCAAGAGUAUCAAUACUUCCCUGACUCCAAAAAUUAUGAACUAAAAUUCCCACUGUAAUAAAUUUGUCAGAGCUUAAUAUUCAAAAAGGUUCAACGUUAGACCAUGCUCUGACUUUUCUAGGGAAAUUUUUGCAACAGAGGUAAACUUUCUGUUUUCAAACAGCAACAUGCAAACUAGCAAAAUAAGCAUGGCAAAGGCUAUCCUUGACUUUUUUUAUUGAAACUAAAGAGGAAAAAAAUUAUUCUAACUAACAUCAAACAAAAACUAACAAAAUAAAAUGACGCUUCAUGCAAAACACAUAUCAUGUGGUGAAUAAAAAUAUAGCUCCAAGUAAAAUUACCGAUGAACGAAGACGAAAGAGGGGAUGCCUUCCGGGGCAUCCCCAAGCUUAGUUGCUUGGUUGUCCUUGAAUAUUACCUUGGGGUGCCUUGGUAAUACCCAAGCUUAGGCUCUUGCCACUCCUUAUUCCAUAGUCCAUCGAAACCUUACCCAAAACUUGAAAACUUCAACCACACAAAACUCAACACAAAACUCGUAAGCUCCGUUAGUAUAAGAAAAUAAAACCACCACUUAGGUACUGUAAUGAACUCAUUCUAAAUUCAUAUCGGUGUAAUAUCUACUGUAUUCUAACUUCUCUAUGGUUCAUACAACUUAAUACUAGCCAUAGAUGCAUCAAAAUAAGCAAACAACACAUAGAAAAUAGAAUCUGUCAAAAACAGAACAGUCUGUAGUAAUUUGUAUAAAACGUAUACUUCUGGAACACCAAAAAUUAUGAAAUAAAUUUCUGUACCUGAACAAUUUGUCUAUUAAUCAUAUGCAAAAAGAAUCAACCAAAAAUCACUCUCCAGUAAAAAAUGGCAGCUAUUUUUGUGAGCGCUAAAGUUUCUGUUUUUCACAGCAAGAUCAUAUAAACUUCACCCAAGUCUUCCCAAAGGUUCUACUUGGCACUUUAUUGAAACAAAAGCUAUAAAGCAUGAUUACUACAGUAGCAUAAUCAUGUGGACACACAAAAACAGUAAGGAUAAAUUUUGGGUUGUCUCGCAACAAAGCGCUUUUCUUUAAUGCCUUUUAGCUGGGCAUGAUGAUGACAAUGAUGCUCACAAAAAGGAUAAGAAUUGAAACAUAACGGGAGCAUCAUGAAGCAUAUGACUAGCAUAUUUAAGCCUAAACCACUUCCUAUGAAUAGGGAUUUUGUGAGCAAACAACUUAUGGGAACAAUAAUCAAUGAGCAUAGGAAGGUAAAACAAGCAUAACUUCAAGAUUUUAAGCACAUAGAGAGGAAACUUGACAUUAUUGCAAUUCCUACAAGCAUAUGUUCCUCUCUCAUAAUAAUUUUCAGUAGCAUCAUGAAUGAAUUCAACAAUAUAACCAGCACCUAAAGCAUUCUUUUCAUGAUCUACAAGCAUAGAAUUUUUAAUACUCUCCACAUAAGCAAAAUUCUUCUCAUUCGGAAUAGUAAAAGUAUCAUAAAAGACUUGAACACUAAAAAUUGUUUCCACAUUAAAAGAGUAAUGUUCAGAAAAAGGGUAAUCAUAAUCAUGACAAGAUUUGUAAAUAUAACCAUCACUACUUUUUAUAGCAUAAGUUUCAUCACAAUAAUCAUCAUAAGUAGUAACUUCGUUCUCAUCAUAAUCGAUUAGAGCCUCUCCCAAGAUAGUGGAAUCACUAAAUAAAGUUGACACUCUUCCAAAUCAACUUUCAUAUUCAUCACAAUAAAAUUCAACAUCCUCCAAAAUAGUGGGAUCACUACUUCCUAAAGUUGACACUCUUCCGAACCCACUUUCAUCAAUAUAAUCAUCAUACGUAGGAGGCAUGCUAUCAUCACAACAACUUUGCAUAUCAAAACUUGGGAUGCUAAAAAUGUCAUCUUCACUAAACGUAGCAUCCCCCAGCUUGGGACAAACAUUAAUUCCAGCAAAUAUAUUCUCAAUUAUUUCAUCCUCAUCAAACAUAGCUUCGCCAAGCUUUGGCCCUUUCAUAUCAUAAGCAUAAUCACUCUCAUCAUUAAAAAUAUGGAUAGCACCAAUAGUAUAGCAAUUAUCAUCAUCACAAGUAGUGGUAGGAGCAACAUCAUUUGGGAGGGAUACCUUUCUACCUUUGUUACUCCUUCUUUUCUUUUUCUUCUUCACAUUAUGUGUGGGUUCAACCUUUCUCUUUGAGCUCCUUAUUGACGAGAUUGGUUGAAUAGAAAGCUCCUCCUCGUUACCUGAUUCAUCAUAAGAAAUAAUAGGAGGAUAUUGGGAAGUCUCUUCCCUUUCAUUAGUAUUCUCAUCAUCUUCUAUUUGUUUUCUUUUCUUUAUGUAAUUGGCAAUAUAAGGAUUUUAAAUACAAUUCACCGCACAAUACAUAUAAAUCUUCUCUAGAUCAAAAUGAAGAAUUCUAUCAAGGUUAAAUUUUGGAAUACCCUCGGUUAUACAUUUCAUUUCUUCAUAACCCAAAAGAAGACUAAGCUCUUUAUGAUGCUCAAGGGUAAUCAAAUUAUCACAAUAUUUGGACACGACUUGAUCAUGAAACAAAUAGCAUUGGAGCUUUAAAUGACCAUGUUCAUUGCAAAGUUCACAAGGAGCGCGAAAAAUAUUGAAUCUUUCAGCACAUUCAUCUAGCUCUUCUUGCAACAAUUUGGUUUCUAAGUACUUAUGCCUCUUGCAAUAAAUAUCUUCUCUAUUUGGUGUGGUCAUGCAAACAUGCACUCCACAAAAUUUGACAUGCUCAUAAGAGAUAUUUUCAUCAUAACUAGUGCAAUUAUUAUUAGCAUCAUGGAUAUUCAAAGAAUUCAUACUAACAACAUUGCAAUCAUGCUCAUCAUUCAAAGAUUUAGUGCCAAACAUUUUAAAGAUUUCUUCUUCUAGCACUUGAGCACAAUUACCAUUUCCAUCAUACUCACAAAAGAUAUUAAAAAGGUGAAGCGUAUGAGACAAACUCAAUUCCAUUUUUUUGUAAUUUUCUUUUAUAGACUAACUAGUGCUAAAAAAAGAAACAAAAAGAUUCGAUUGCAAGAUCUAAAGAUAUACCUUCAAGCGCUAAACUCCCCGACAACGGCGCCAGAAAAGAGCUUAGUUGGCGGGGUGUGAGUGAGUGCCCUUUAACCUAGCCUCCCUGGCAACGGCGCCAGAAAAGAGCUUGAUGUCUACUACACAACCUUCUUCUUGUAGACGUUGUUGGGCCUGCAAGUGCACAGGUUUGUAGGACAGUAGCAAAUUUCCCUCAAGUGGAUGACCUAAGGUUUAUCAAUCCGUAGGAGGCGUAGGAUGAAGAUGGUCUCUCUCAAACAACCCUGCAACCAAAUAACAAAAAGUCUCUUGUGUCCCCAACACACCCAAUACAAUGAUAAAUUGUAUAGGUGCACUAGUUCGAUGAAGAGAUGAAGAUACAAGUGCAAAAUAGAUAGUAGAUAUAGGUUUUUGUAAUCUGAAAUAAUAAAAACAGCAAAGUAACGAGCGAUAAAAGUGAGCGUAAACGGUAUUGCAAUGAUAGGAAACAAGGCCUAGGGUUCAUACUUUCACUAGUGUAAGUUCUCUCAACAAUAAUAACAUAGAUAGAACAUAUGAAGGGCCCUCAACAUGCAACAAAGAGUCACUCCAAAGCCACUAAUAGCGGAGAACAAACGUAGAAAUUAUGGUCGGGUACGAAACCACCACAAAGCUAUUCUUUCGGAUCGAUCUAUAAAAGAGUUCGUACUAGAAUAACACCUUAAGACACAAAUCAACCAAAACCCUAAUGUCACCUAGAUACUCCAUUGUCACCUCAAGUAUCCGUGGGCAUGAUUAUACGAUAUGCAUCACACAAUCUCAGAUUCAUCCAACCAACAUAAAAGUACUUCAAAGAGUGCCCCAAAGUUUCUACCGGAGAGUCAAGAACGUGUGCCAACCCCUAUGCAUAGGUUCCCAAGGGUCACGAAACCCGCAAGUUGAUCACCAAAACAUACAUCAAGUGGAUCAAUAGAAUAACCCAUUGUCACCACGGUUAUCCCACGCAAGACAUACAUCAAGUGUUCAUAAAAGACUCAAUCCGAUAAGAUAACUUCAAAAGGGGAAAAUCAAUUCAUCACAAGAGAGUAGAGGGGGAGAAACAUCAUAAGAUCCAACUACAAUAGCAAAGCUUAGGAUACAUCAAGAUUGUGCCAUGGAAGAACACGAGAGAGAAGACGAGAGAGAGAUCAAACACAUAGCUACUGGUACAUACCCUCAGCCCCGAGGGUGAGCUACUCCCUCCUCGUCAUGGAUAGCGCCGGGAUGAUGAAGAUGGCCUCCGAUGAUGGGAUCCCCCUCCGGCAGGGUGCAGGAACAGGGUCCCGAUUGGUUUUUGGUGGCUACAGAGGCUUGCUGCGGCGGAACUCCCGAUCUAUUUUCUGUUCUGGAAGUUUUAGGGUACGUAGGUAUAUAUGGGUGCAGGGGGUACGUCGGUGGACCUCCGGGUGGCUCAUGAGGUAGGGGGCGCGCCCAGGGGGGCGCACCCUCCACCCUCGUGGACAGCCCGGGACUCCCCUGGCGUGCACUCCAAGCCCAUCAGGUUGGUUUACUUCCAGAAUUAACUUCUCUAGUUGAUUUUGUUCCGUUUUGACUCCGUCUGAUAUUCCUUUUCCUCGAAACACUGAAAUAGGCAUAAAACAGCAAAUCUGGGCUGGGUCUCCGGUUAAUAGGUUAGUCCCAAAAAUAAUAUAAAAGUGGAUAAUAAAGCCCAAUAUUGCCUAAAACAGUAGAUAAAGUAGCAUGGAGUAAUCAAAAAUUAUAGAUACGUUGGAGACGUAUCAACGUUCCACACCAGAGUGGUAUGGCAACCCUGUCCUGGAAAUCAUGUUGUUAGACAACGGUGAACCUUUGAACUAUGAGGGAGCGAUGGCGGGCCCAGAUUCCAACAAAUGGCUUGAAGCCAUGCAAUCCGAGAUAGGAUCCAUGUAUGAAAAUGAAGUAUGAACUUUGACAGACUUGCCCGAUGAUCGGCGAGCGAUAGAAAACAAAUGGAUCUUUAAGAAGAAGAUGGACGCGGAUGGUAAUGUUACCAUCUAUAAAGCUCGACUUGUCGCUAAGGGUUAUCGACAAGUUCAAGGGGUUGACUAUGAUGAGACUUUCUCUCCCGUAGUGAAGUUGAAGUCCGUCCGAAUCAUGUUAGCAAUUGCCACAUACUAUGAUUAUGAGAUAUGGCAAAUGGGUGUCAAAACGGCAUUCCUUAACGGCCAUCUUAAGGAAGAACUGUAUAUGAUGCAGCCGGAAGGUUUUGUCGACCCUGAGAAUGCUAACAAGGUAUGCAAACUCCAGUGAUCCAUUUAUGGGCUGGUGCAAGCAUCUCGGAGUUGGAACAUUCGCUUUGAUGAGAUGAUCAAAGCGUUUGGGUUUAUGCAGACUUAUGGAGAAGCCUGCGUUUACAAGAAAGUGAGUGUGAGCUCUGUAGCAUUUCUCAUAUUAUAUGUAGAUGACAUACUUUUGAUGGGAAAUGAUAUAGAACUUUUGGACAACAUUAAGGCCUACUUGAAUAAGUGUUUUUCAAUGAAGGACCUUGGAGAAGCUGCUUACAUAUUAGGCAUCAAGAUCUAUAGAGAUAGAUCGAGACGCCUCAUAGGUCUUUCAUAGAGUACAUACCUUGAUAAGAUAUUGAAGAAGUUCAAUAUGGAUCAGUCCAAGAAGGGGUUCUUGCCUGUAUUGCAAGGUGUGAAAUUGAGCUCGGCUCAAUGUCCGACCACGGCAUAAGAUAGAGAAAAGAUGAGUGUCGUUCCCUAUGCCUCAGCCAUAGGGUCUAUCAUGUAUGCCAUGACCUGUACCAGACCUGAUAUAAACCUUGCCGUAAGUUUGGUAGAAAGGUACUAAAGUAAUCCCAGCAUGGAACACUGGACAACGGUCAAGAACACCUAAAGUACCUGAAAAGGACUAAGGAUAUGUUUCUUGUAUAUGGAGGUGACGAAGAGCUCGUCGUAAAGGGUUACGUCGACGCUAGCUUCGACACAGAUCUGGAUGACUCGAAGUCUCAAACCGAAUACGUGUAUAUUUUGAAUGGUGGGGCAGUAAGCUGGUGCAGUUGCAAGCAAAGCGUCGUGGCGGGAUCUACAUGUGAAGCGGAGUACAUGGCAGCCUCGGAGGCAGCGCAUGAAGCUAUCUGGGUGAAGGAGUUCAUCACCGACCUAGGAGUCAUACCCAAUGCGUCGGGGCCGAUCACACUCUUCUGUGACAACACUGGAGCUAUUGCACUUGCCAAGGAGCCCAGGUUUCACAAGAAGACCAGGCACAUCAAGCGUCGCUUCAACUCCAUUCGUGAAAAUGUUCAAGAUGGAGACAUAGAUAUUUGUAAAGUACAUACGGACCUGAAUGUAGCAGAUCCGUUGACUAAACCUCUCCCUAGAGCAAAACAUGAUCAACACCAGAACGCAAUGGGUGUUCGAUACAUCACAAUGUAACUAAAUUAUUGACUCUAGUGCAAGUGGGAGACUGUUGGAAAUAUGCCCUAGAGGCAAUAAUAAAAUGGUUAUUAUUAUAUUUCUUUGUUCAUGAUAAUUGUCUAUUGUUCAUGCUAUAAUUGUAUUAUCCGGAAAUCGUAAUACAUGUGUGAAUACAUAGACCACAAAAAGUCCCUAGUGAACCUCUAGUUGACUAGCUCGUUGAUCAACAGAUUGUCAUGGUUUCCUGACUAUGGACAUUGGAUGUCAUUGAUAACGUGAUCACAUCAUUAGGAGAAUGGUGUGAUGGACAAGACCCAAUCCUAAGCAUAGCACAAAGAUCGUGUAGUUCGUUUCGCUAGAGCUUUUCCAAAUGUCAAGUAUCAUUUCCUUAGACCAUGAGAUUGUGAAACUCCCGGAUACCAUAGGAGUGCUUUGGGUGUGCCAAACGUCAAAACGUAACUGGGUGACUAUAAUGGUGCACUACGGGUAUCUCCGAAAGUGUCUGUUGGGUUGGCACGAAUCGAGACUGGGAUUUGUCACUCCGUAUGACGGAGAGGUAUCUCUGGGCCCACUCGGUAAUGCAUCAUCAUAAUGAGCUCAAUGUGACCAAGUGUCUGGUCACGGGAUCAUGCAUUACGGUACGAGUAAAGUGACUUGCCGGUAACGAGAUUGAAGGAGGUAUUGGGAUACAGACGAUCGAGUCUCAGGCAAGUAACGUACCGACUGACAAAGGGAAUUGUAUACGGGAUUGACUGAAUCCUCGACAUCGUGGUUCAUCCGAUGAGAUCAUCGAGGAGCAUGUGGGAUCCAACAUGGGUAUCCAGAUCCUGUUGUUGGUUAUUGACCGGAGAGGCGUCUCGGUCAUGUCUGCAUGUCUCCCGAACCCGUAGGGUCUACACACUUAAGAUUUGGUGACGCUAGGGUUGUAGAGAUAUGAGUAUGCAGUAACCCGAAAGUUAUUCGGAGUCCCGGAUGAGAUCCCGAACAUCACGAGGAGUUCCGGAAUGGUCCGAAGGUGAAGAAUUAUAUGUAUGAAGUGCAGUUUCGGCCAUCGGGAAAGUUUCGGGGGCCACCAGUAUUGUACCGGGACCACCGGAAGGGCCCCGGGGGUCCACCGGGUGGGGCCACCUAUCCCGAAGGGCCCCAUGGGCUGAAGUGGGAGGGUAACCAGCACCUGUUGGGCUGGUGCGCCCCCCUUGGCCCCCCUGCGCCUAGGGUUGGAAACCCUAGGGGUGGGGGGGCGCCUCCACUUGCCUUGGGGGGCAAGCCACCCCCUUGGCCGCCGCCCCCCUUGGAGAUCCCAUCUCCUAGGGCCGGCGCCCCCCAGGGGGCCUAUAUAAAGAGGGGGGAGGGAGGGCAGCCGCACCCAAGUCCCUGGCACCUCCCUCUCCCCACGCACCACCUCUCCCUCUCGUAGAAGCUUGGCGAAGCCCUGCCGUGAUCACUGCUGCAUCCAUCACCAUGCCGUCGUGCUGCUGGAUCUUCAUCAACCUCUCCUUUCCCCUUGCUGGAUCAAGAAGGAGGAGACGUCUUCCCAACCGUACGUGUGUUGAACGCGGAGGUGCCGUCCGUUCGGCACUAGGAUCUCCGAUGAUUUGGAUCACGACGAGUACGACUCCCUCAACCCCGUUCUCUUGAACGCUUCCGCGCGUGAUCUACAAGGGUAUGUAGAUGCACUCCUCUCUCUCGUUGCUAGAUGACUCCAUAGAUUGAUCUUGGUGAAGCGUAGAAUUUUUUUAUUUUCUGCAACGUUCCCCAACAAUAUAUACCUGGCCGGACUCGGUUCGGUCAGCGGAGCAGUUAACACGGUCUCCUUCUUGUACCUCCAUUGGGUCACCGGAGCCAUCAUGAACAUAGCCCUCUUCUUGUACCGGCAUUAAUGGGCCAGAGCCAUCAUGAACAUAGCCCUCUUCUUCACCCAGUCCUUCCUGACCAUCGGCGUCGUUGAGAAAUGACGCAACGACAUCACUUCCUUGUGCGAUCAUGUCCCCCAACAUCGCUUAUGUUGCUUCGUCUCGGGAGUGCUACAUAGUUUCUGCAAAUAUUUAUAACAUGUCAACUAUUAUUCAAACCUGGUACAGAUGGAUAUAUAUUAGUGGCAAACGUAGAACUAGCUAGCUAAUCACAAUAAGGAAUCAUGUUAGUGGCCUCGACGCUGCUUCUCUAGGGUUUGGGGUGGCCUAGACAACGCUUCAAGGGUUUGGGGUGGCCUCGACACAACGCUUCAAGGGUUUGGGGUGGCCUCGACGACAAUGCUCUUUUAACUUGGUAAAUUUGGGUGGACUCGAGAGAGUUUGUCGGGUAGGGGUGUGGCGGGAGGGGGUAGGAGACCAACAUCAUUUUUUCUCUAGGGUUUGGGUGUCCUCGAGAGUUUUGCUCGAGCGAGAUGGCCGAGGGUGCUGCUGCCGUGGUAUAAGUUAUCACGGUCGAAAGGGGAUAUAUAUAUCGGCCGCCCCUCAUGUCGAAGUUAUCUGGGAGGGGGUUAUAUCGACAACGAUGCGGCAUACAUAUACAUGGGAAAAUAAUGUUAUCAGGGAGGGGGUAUCGGUACCCUCCCUCAUGUUGAAGUUUCUCGGGAGGGGGUAUAUCGACAACGACAUACCCGAUAAAAAAUAAGAAUACAAAAGAAAACAUAAAACGAGGAGAAGAAGAAAGGAAUAGAAGAGAAGCAAUCGAAGAAAAGAAAAAGAAGAAAAAGAAGAAAAAAAGGAGAAGAAGAAAGGAAUAGAGGAGAAAGAAGAAAAAAAUAGAAAUUCUAUUCCUUUCUUCUUUUCCUCUUCUUUUUCUUCUUUUUUCCUCUUCUUAUUUAUUUCUCCUCUUCUUCCUCUCCUCUUCUUCUCCUUUCUUCCUCUUCUUAUUUUCCUUUUUCCUCUCCUUCUUUUUCUUCUUCUUUUUCCUUCUUCCUUCUUCCUCUUUUCUUCCUUUUCCUUAUUUUACUUUUUCCUCUACACUAACCUAAAAUGCACUAACCUAAAAUCGAUAUCUACUAACAACCUAAAUAAAAAAUCAAUACAUAUAUGAAAAAACAUAUAUAAACAAAAAAAUGCUAUGAACAUUAUAUUCAUACAUACAUAGCCACAUCCAUUCAUCAUAUAGCUACCACAUACAUAUAUACAUUAUAUAUAUGAAAAAAAUGCAAUGAACAAAAAAAUACACAUGUAUAUAUGAAAAAACGCACUAAACACAGAGACGUGACGGCAGCGGCUCACAUCGGGGGCGGCCGGCGAGGGCGACGGCGGGGGCGGCGAGGGCGUCGCGGCGACCACGGUGGGGGGCNNNNNNNNNNNNNNNNNNNNNNNNNNNNNNNNNNNNNNNNNNNNNNNNNNNNNNNNNNNNNNNNNNNNNNNNNNNNNNNNNNNNNNNNNNNNNNNNNNNNNNNNNNNNNNNNNNNNNNNNNNNNNNNNNNNNNNNNNNNNNNNNNNNNNNNNNNNNNNNNNNNNNNNNNNNNNNNNNNNNNNNNNNNNNNNNNNNNNNNNNNNNNNNNNNNNNNNNNNNNNNNNNNNNNNNNNNNNNNNNNNNNNNNNNNNNNNNNNNNNNNNNNNNNNNNNNNNNNNNNNNNNNNNNNNNNNNNNNNNNNNNNNNNNNNNNNNNNNNNNNNNNNNNNNNNNNNNNNNNNNNNNNNNNNNNNNNNNNNNNNNNNNNNNNNNNNNNNNNNNNNNNNNNNNNNNNNNNNNNNNNNNNNNNNNNNNNNNNNNNNNNNNNNNNNNNNNNNNNNNNNNNNNNNNNNNNNNNNNNNNNNNNNNNNNNNNNNNNNNNNNNNNNNNNNNNNNNNNNNNNNNNNNNNNNNNNNNNNNNNNNNNNNNNNNNNNNNNNNNNNNNNNNNNNNNNNNNNNNNNNNNNNNNNNNNNNNNNNNNNNNNNNNNNNNNNNNNNNNNNNNNNNNNNNNNNNNNNNNNNNNNNNNNNNNNNNNNNNNNNNNNNNNNNNNNNNNNNNNNNNNNNNNNNNNNNNNNNNNNNNNNNNNNNNNNNNNNNNNNNNNNNNNNNNNNNNNNNNNNNNNNNNNNNNNNNNNNNNNNNNNNNNNNNNNNNNNNNNNNNNNNNNNNNNNNNNNNNNNNNNNNNNNNNNNNNNNNNNNNNNNNNNNNNNNNNNNNNNNNNNNNNNNNNNNNNNNNNNNNNNNNNNNNNNNNNNNNNNNNNNNNNNNNNNNNNNNNNNNNNNNNNNNNNNNNNNNNNNNNNNNNNNNNNNNNNNNNNNNNNNNNNNNNNNNNNNNNNNNNNNNNNNNNNNNNNNNNNNNNNNNNNNNNNNNNNNNNNNNNNNNNNNNNNNNNNNNNNNNNNNNNNNNNNNNNNNNNNNNNNNNNNNNNNNNNNNNNNNNNNNNNNNNNNNNNNNNNNNNNNNNNNNNNNNNNNNNNNNNNNNNNNNNNNNNNNNNNNNNNNNNNNNNNNNNNNNNNNNNNNNNNNNNNNNNNNNNNNNNNNNNNNNNNNNNNNNNNNNNNNNNNNNNNNNNNNNNNNUUCAGCAGCCCAAAGGAGGCCUUUGGUCCCGGUUGGUGGCACCAACGGGACUAAAGGGAGGGCAUUGGUCCCGGCUUGUAGCACCAACCGGGACUAAUGCACCCCUUUAGUCCCGGUUGGUGCCACAAACCGGGACCAAUGAGCCUUGCACAACGGCGUGGUGGUGGGAGUUUAGUCCCACCUCGCUAGCAGAGAGAGAGCCGCACCUGUUUAUAAGGUGCGAUGCGCCAACCCUCUCGAGCUCCUCUCUAAAGCAGGCUUUCGGGCCUAAUCUGUCUCUAUGUGCGUGUGGGCCUAUUGGGUUUACUACGGGUCUGAAUCCUGGCCCAUUGUUGGGUUUCUAGUCGUAUUCAGGCCGUGGGGGCCUAGUAGGAGGCACUUUUUUGUUUUUUUGUUUUCCUUACUUAUUGUUGCUAUUUUUUUUCCAGUUUUUUUGUUUUGUUUUCUGCAUUAUUUAUUUUCUUUUGUUUUUUGCUCUAUUUUUAAUUCUUUUUUGCUUUUAGUUUUAGAAAAAUUAUAAACUUUUUGUUAGUGCCAUUAGUUUUCAAAUUUGAAAACACUUUUUUUGUUUUCUUUCUUGCUUUAUUUNNNNNNNNNNNNNNNNNNNNNNNNNNNNNNNNNNNNNNNNNNNNNNNNNNNNNNNNNNNNNNNNNNNNNNNNNNNNNNNNNNNNNNNNNNNNNNNNNNNNNNNNNNNNNNNNNNNNNNNNNNNNNNNNNNNNNNNNNNNNNNNNNNNNNNNNNNNNNNNNNNNNNNNNNNNNNNNNNNNNNNNNNNNNNNNNNNNNNNNNNNNNNNNNNNNNNNNNNNNNNNNNNNNNNNNNNNNNNNNNNNNNNNNNNNNNNNNNNNNNNNNNNNNNNNNNNNNNNNNNNNNNNNNNNNNNNNNNNNNNNNNNNNNNNNNNNNNNNNNNNNNNNNNNNNNNNNNNNNNNNAAACACUUAUUUGUUUUUUGUUUUCUUUGUUGCUUUAUUUAUUUUAUUUUGUUUCUAAAUACAACAAAAUACUUAUUGUUGCUAUUUUUAUUUUGUUUCCAGUUUUUUUGUUUUGUUUUCUGCAUUAUUUAUUUUCUUUUGUUUUUUGCUUUAUUUUUUAAUUCCUUUUGCUUUUAGGUCAGCAAAAUUAUAAACUUUCUGUUAGUGCCAUUAGUUUUAGAAAAAUUAUAAACUUUCUAUUAGUGCCAUUAGUUUUCAAAUUUGAAUAGUUAAAAUUUGAAUUCUUUGAAAUUUGUGUGAAUCACAAGUUUGUGAUUAACUUUACUAAAAAAUGAACAUAGAUGCGCCUACAGAGAAAAUUCAACCUAAAUUAAUAAUAAAUUUCUAUGAAUUUCAGAGAAAUUCACUAUGAAUUUAGGUCAAAUUCCGUGUAUAGGGGCAUCUAUUUUCACUUUGAGAGGAGCUCAACAAGGCAGAGAGGGACGGGCUUAUAAACCGGGGUGAGCGCCCUUCGAUUGGAGAGGUGGGACUAAACUCUGAGCGCAACAAGGACCAACCCUUUAGUCCCGGUUUGUGGCACAAACCGGGACUAAUGGUCAUGGGCCAGGGCGAGGCGCAUUGGUCCCGGUUCGUGCGUGGAACCGGGACCAAAAGGUCCACACGAACCGGGACCAAUGGCGCACGUGGCUGCCCUCUUGAGAGUGUUCUUGGUGAGAACAUAGUUGACAAGGAGCAAACCGGGAUUAAUGGUAUUACGAGGGCCGAACCAUAAGACAUUAAAGCAUUUCAAAUGAACUCUGGAAAAGUUGAAAGUUGGCAUGGUAUCAUAAUUUCACCCACAUAGCAUGUGCAUGUACAAAACAGACAAUGGUAUCAUACUCGUCUGUUACAAAGUUGGCAUGGUAUCAUCAUAAUAGUUGCGGGAGAAAGUCUUCACUUUUUCUUCGCUUGUGUCAUUUGCUUAUUGCGUCGUAACCAUGGAUAAUCUUCAUUGUUUAUCGGGAUGCUGGGGUCAGCCUUGACUUUGAAGGGAGGAAUUUCAUGAAACCUUUCAUAAUCUUCAGACAUGUCUGUCUUGCCCUCCACUCCCACGAUGUCCCUUUUUCCUAAAAGAACUAUGUGGCACUUUGGCUCAUCGUAUGAUGUAUUCGCUUCCUUAUCUUUUCUUUUUCUCGGUCUGGUAGACAUGUCCUUCACAUAGAUAACCUGUGCCACAUCAUUGGCUAGGACGAACGGUUCAUCAGUGUACCCAAGAUUUUUCAGAUCCACUGUUGUCAUUCCGUACUGUGGGUCUACCUGUACCCCGCCUCCUGACAGAUUGACCCAUUUGCACUUAAACAAAGGGACCUUAAAAUCAUGUCCGUAGUCAAGUUCCCAUAUGCCCACUAUGUAACCAUAAUAUGUGUCCUUUCCCCUCUCGGUUGUUGCAUCAAAGCGGACACCGCUAUUUUGGUUGGUGCUCUUUUGAUCUUGGUCAAUCAUGUAAAAUGUAUUCCCAUUUAUCUCGUAUCCUUUGUAAAUCAAUACAGUCAAAGAUGGUCCCCUGGACAACAAGUACAGCUCAUCACAAACAGUGUUGUCACCUCUGAGACGUGUUUCCAGCCAACUGCUGAAAGUCCUGAUGUGUUCACAUGUAAUCCAGUCGUCGCACUGCUCCGGGUGUUUGGAGCGCAGACUGUUCUUGUGUUCAUCGACAUACGGGGUCACCAAGGUAGAGUUCUGUAGAACUGUGUAGUGUGCUUGAGACCAAGAAUAUCCGUCCCUGCAUAUUAUUGAGUCCCUUCCAAGCGUGCCUUUUCCAGUCAGUCUCCCCUCAUACCAUGAUUUAGGGAGACCUAUCUUCUUAAGGCCAGGAAUGAAGUCAACACAAAACCCGAUGACAUCCUCUGUUUGAUGGCCCAUGGAGAUGCUUCCUUCUGGCCUAGCGCGGUUACGGACAUAUUUCUUUAGGACUCCCAUGAACCUCUCAAAGGGGAACAUAUUGUGUAGAAAUACGGGCCCCAGAAUGACAAUCUCGUCGACUAGAUGAACUAGGACGUGCGUCAUGAUAUUGAAGAAGGAUGGUGGGAACACCAGCUCGAAACUGACAAGGCAUUGCGCCACAUCACUCCUUAGCCUUGGUACGAUUCUGGAUCGAUCACCUUGUGAGAGAUUGCAUUGAGGAAUGCACAUAGCUUCACAAUGGCUAAUCGGAUGUUUUCCGGUAGAAGCCCCCUCAAUGCAACCGGAAGCAGUUGCGUCAUAAUCACGUGGCAGUCAUGAGACUUUAGGUUCUGAAACUUUUUCUCUGGCAUAUUUAUUAUUCCCUUUAUAUUCGACGAGAAGCCAGUCCGGACCUUCAUACUGAGCAGGCAUUCAAAGAAGAUUUCUUUCUCUUCUUUCGUAAGAGCGUAGCUGGCAGGACCUUCAUACUGCUUCAGAGGUAUGCCGUCUUUUUCGUGCAAACGUCACAGGUCCUUCCGUGCCUCAGGUGUAUCUUUUGUCUUUCCAUACACGCCCAAGAAGCCUAGCAGGUUCACGCAAAGGUUCUUCGUCACGUGCAUCACGUUGAUUGAAGAGCGGACCUCUAGGUCUUUCCAGUAGGGUAGGUCCCAAAAUAUAGAUAUCUUCUUCCACAUGGGUGCGUGUCCCUCAGCGUCAUUCGGAACAGCUAGUGCGCCGGGACCCUUUCCAAAGAUUACGUAUAAAUUAUUGACCAUAGCAAGUACAUGAUCACCAGUACGCAUGACGGGCUUCUUCCGGUGAUCUGCCUCGCCUUUGAAAUGAUUGCCUUUCUUUCGACAUUGAUGGUUGGUCGGAAGAAAUCAAUGAUGGCCCAGGUACACAUUCUUCCUGCAGCUUCCCAGAUAUAUACUACCGGUGUCAAGUAAACAGUGCGUGCAUGCGUGGUAUCCCUUGUUUGUCUGUCCUGAAAGGUUACUGAGAGCGGGCCAAUCAUUGAUGGUCACGAACAUCAACGCCCUUAGGUCAAAUUCCUCCUGUUUGUGCUCACCCCACGUACGUACACCGUUUCCAUUCCGCAGCUGUAAAAGUUCUUCAACUAAUGGCCUUAGGUACACAUCAAUGUCGUUGCCAGGUGCUUAGGGCCUUGGAUGAGAACUGGCAUCAUAAUGAACUUCCGCUUCAUGCACAUCCAAGGAGGAAGGUUAUACAUACAUAGAGUCACGGGCCAGGUACUGUGAUUGCUGCUCUGCUCCCCGAAAGGAUUAAUCCCAUCCGCGCUUAAAGCAAACCAUACGUUCCUCGGGUCACUUGCAAACUCAUCCCAGUACUUUCUCUCGAUUUUUCUCCACUGCGACCCGUCAGUGGGUGCUCCCAACUUCCCGUCUUUCUUACGGUCCUCAUUGUGCCAUCGCAUCAACUUGGCAUGCUCUCCGUUUCUAAACAAACGUUUCAACCGUGGUAUUAUAGGAGCAUACCACAUCACCUUCGCAGGAACCCUCUUCCUGGGGGGCUCGCCGUCAACAUCACCAGGGUCAUCUCGUCUGAUUUUAUACCGUAAUGCACCGCAUACCAGGCAUGCGUUCAGACCCUUGUACGCACCGCGGUAGAGGAUGCAGUCAUUAGGUCAUGCAUGUAUCUUCUGCACCUCCAAUCCUAGAGGGCAUACGACCUUCUUUGCUGCGUAUGUACUGUCGGGCAAUUCGUUAUCCUUUGGAAGCUUCUUCUUCAAUAUUUUCAGUAGCUUCUCAAAUCCUUUGUCAGGCACAACAUUCUCUGCCUUCCACUGCAGUAAUUCCAGUAUGGUACCGAGCUUUGUGUUGCCAUCUUCGCAAUUGGGGUACAACCCUUUUUUGUGAUCCUCUAACAUGCGAUCGAACUUCAGCUUCUCCUUUUGACUUUUGCAUUGCGUCCUUGCAUCGACAAUGACCCGGCGGAGAUCAUCAUCAUCGGGCACAUCGUCUGGUUCCUCUUGAUCUUAAGCUGCUUCGCCCGUUGCGGCAUCAUCGUGCACAUCGUCUAGUUCCUCUUGAUCUUCAGUAGCAUCAACGUAUUCAGGGGGCACAUAGUUGUCAUCGUACUCUUCUUCUUCGUCGUCUUCUAUCAUAACCCCUAUUUCUCCGUGCCUCGUCCAAACAUCAUAGUGUGGCAUGAAACCCUUGUAAAGCAGGUGGGUGUGAAGGAUUUUUCGGUCAGAGUAAGACUUCAUAUUCCCACAUAUAGGGCAUGGACAACACAAAACCAUUCUGCUUGUUUGCCUCAGCCACUUCGAGAAAAUCAUGCACGCCCUUAAUGUACUCGGAGGUGUAUCUUUCACCGUACAUCCAUUGCCGGUUCAUCUGCGUGCAUUAUAUAUAAUUAAGUGUGUCAAAAAUCAUUACAGAACAUCAUGAAUAGAUAAUUAAGUGACCAAAUUAAUAGAAGUUCAUCAUCACAUUAAAAUCAAAGUACAUACAUAGUUCUCAUCUAACAACAUAAAGCUCUGCAGAGCAUCUAAAUUAAUUAAACCAUACAUUGAAACUAUGUAAAACAUUUCAAUGCAAAAACAAAUGCGAUCAUAAUCGCAACCAAGGUAACAACUGAUCCAACGGCAUAAUGAUACCAAGCCUCGGUAUGAAUGGCAUAUUAUCUAAUCUUUCUAAUCUUCAAGCGCAUUGCAUCCAUCUUGAUCUUGUGAUGAUCGACGACAUCCGCAACAUGCAACUCCAAUAUCAUCUUCUCCUCCUCAAUUUUUCUUAUUUUUUCCUUCAAGAAAUUGUUUUCUUCUUCAACUAAAUUUAACCUCUCGACAAUAGGGUCGGUUGGAAUUUCCGGUUCGACAACCUCCUAGAUAAAUAAAAUCUAUGUCACGUUGGUCGGCAUAAUUUUCGUAAAUAAUAAAUGAACCAAUAGUUAUGAAAAGAUAAUAUAUACCACAUCCGAAUCAUAGACAUGACGAGGGCCGACGGGGGCGGAUACCAAAACCGUCGCACUAUAUAAGAUGCAAUAAUAAAAGUAAGAAAAUAAUACAAGUAUCUAUCUAAACAUACAAGUAAGAAUAUUUUUUUUUCAGAAAGAAGAUAAGAACAAGAGGCUGACCAAGGUGGUGUCGGCGAUGAGAUCGGCGCGGGCGAUCGACGGUGGUGAAGACGGAGACGGGACGUGACAGACCGCUAAAUCUAGACAAAUAUUGAGGAAAAUGGAGUUUGGAGGUCGAGCUUGGAGAGGAGAAAGUUAAGUAGUGUGGCUCGGGCAUUCCAUCAAACACCUCGUGUGCAUAAGAGGUGAGCUAGAGCACCACAAAGCUCUCCAACGGCCGGGCAGAACAACAGAGCAGUGAAGUGCUCUGCUCGCGGGCGAGGGGUAUAUAUAGGCAAUUCAUUGGUCCCAGUUCGUGGCAUGAACCGGGACUAAAGGGCAGCAUUUGGUCCCGGUUCAAGCCACCAACCGGGACCAAUGGUGGUGGGCCAGGAGCGAGGCCCAUUGGUCCCGGUUCGUCCCACCAACCGGGACCAAAAGGUCCAAACGAACCGGGACCAAUGGCCCACGUGGCCCGGCCGGCCCCCGGGGCUCAUGAACCGGGUCCAAUGCCCUCAUGGGUCCCGGUUCUGGACUGAACCGGGACUAAUGGGCUGACCCGGCCUGGACCAUUGCCCCCUUUUCUAUUAGUGGGGCAGGCCGCGCGCCCUACCAAGGCCUAGUCCGAAUUGGACUAGGGGGAGGGGCUGCGCCCCCUCGUUCCUUCCCUUCUCUCUUCACAUUCCUUCUCUCCUACUCCUACUUGGAAAGGAGGAGUCCUACUCCCACCGGGAGUAGGACUCCCCCCUUGGCGCGCCCUCCUCCUUGGUCGGCCGCCUCCUCCCUAGCUCCUUUAUAUACGGGGGUAGGGGGGCACCCCUAGACACAACAAUUGAUCAUUGAUCUCUUAGCCGUGUGCGGUGCCCCCUCCACCAUAGGUAAUAUCAUAGCGGUGCUUAGGCGAAGCCCUGCGUCGGUAGCAUCAUCAACACCGUUAUCACGCCGUCAUGCUGACGGAACUCUCCCGCAAAGCUCUGCUGGACCGGAGUUCAUGGGACGUCAUCGAGCUGAACGUGUGCAGAACUCGGAGGUGUUGUGCAUUCGGUACUUGGAUCGGUCGGAUCGUGAAGACGUACGACUACAUCAACCGCGUUGUCAUAACGCUUUCGCUUUCGGUUUAUGAGGGUACGUGGACAACACUCUCCCCUCUCGUUACUAUACAUCACCAUGAUCUUGCGUGUGCGUAGAAAAACUUCUGAAAUUAUUACGUUCCCCAACAAUUCGCGCCUCCGGCCGAGCUGUCCUGGGUCGUGGCGGCGGACGGGUCCGUGGUCAUCUGUGACGACCGCGCCAUGGCCAAGGCCGAUAGUUCUGCGGCAGGUCCUUCUGCCCUUCCCGCCCGGCUGCAUGUUCAGUCGCGAUUUUACAUCGAGGAAAUUGGAGGUAGCUAGCUCGAUUCGUCCGAAGCAAAAGUCGAUUGGAGCUUGGCUAUUAGAGCUAGCUAGCUCAAUUCGUCUGCCAUUGAAAGCCAUUGGAGAUCUCCAUGGGGAAUUUUAAAGGAAGAUAGGGAAUUUUAGAUGAAGAAGAAAGAACUGACAUGUGGGCCCCACAUGUUAAUGGUCAAAGUAAUGGGGUUGACUUUUUUUAGCCCCGACUAGUGGGCCCAGCAUGUUAUAAUCACGUUUAAACAAUCUGAAUCGGCCAUUUUUCUGAGUUGGUAGUUUUUAGGCAAAGAUUAGAAGGAAAGUGAUAGUUUUUCGCACAAAUUUGUAUAGUGGUAGUUUUUAGACACGGUUUCACGAAUUGUGAUAGUUUUUUUGUUAAAUACUCACCUUUCAGAGAUGUAAACUACAAUAUCUCACGGUGCAAAUUUACAUCUUGGCGAUGCCUCCUCCCUGAUUACAGAAAUUGUUGACUUCAGAAAAGAUUCAACAAGAACUAUAUCAAUAAAGGAGCUUCUCCAUUUCCACAUGUCAAGGCACAAUGGUAGAACUUGUUUCCUUGAAGGACGAGGGUUUGUGGCGUUGCCCAGGCGCCAGCUUCAUUCAUUGAAGGCGUUGCAUCUGUAUAUUGUACCGGCGGGGCGACGAGCCGUUUCACUGUCCUCUACAGAAUCCGGGGGGCGGGCACGGCACGCCGAUGCGCUCCAAAGACAGACAGGGGAAUGUACAGGAUUCGUGUGUACCACGGGCUACCAGCUACUCAUACGUAGGCCUGCUUGAAUAGCAUACAAUUCGUAUGGUACUUUGCCAUUAUGCUUGGGCCCGGCGCGGAGAAAAUUCCGCGGCCGGUGCAACGCGACAUGCAUGUACCGAUGUACGCAGUACGCGCGAUGCUGCCUCCUGUCACGCCGGCUAUGUCUAUGAGUCUAUCCAGGCAACCUGGCUUACGAACGCAGAUGCAUUAUGCGUGUACUUUCGCUCGCCAAUCAGCAUGAUUUGCUGCGCGCCUAAUCAUCCACCAUAACUGCUGCUACAGUGUAGAUGAGAGACAGAGUUGGGNNNNNNNNNNNNNNNNNNNNNNNNNNNNNNNNNNNNNNNNNNNNNNNNNNNNNNNNNNNNNNNNNNNNNNNNNNNNNNNNNNNNNNNNNNNNNNNNNNNNNNNNNNNNNNNNNNNNNNNNNNNNNNNNNNNNNNNNNNNNNNNNNNNNNNNNNNNNNNNNNNNNNNNNNNNNNNNNNNNNNNNNNNNNNNNNNNNNNNNNNNNNNNNNNNNNNNNNNNNNNNNNNNNNNNNNNNNNNNNNNNNNNNNNNNNNNNNNNNNNNNNNNNNNNNNNNNNNNNNNNNNNNNNNNUUUUGUGGUCUCGAAGCAGAAGCGGAGCCUAGAGACUCUGGACUCCGAACUCGGUGAAGCCGGCCGGCCGGCCAUGAGGAGUCCCGAGAAGCGAGCGAGAGCAUCUUUGUCGUGUGGGGAUGGUGAAACAAACAUGCUCCAGUACGCUCGCCUCCAGACGCGGCAGCAACGAGGCUGCCGGUAGUAGGAAUGUGAGAUUUACUAUAACUACCAGUACCACACGGACGGCUACGCCGGAAAUCCCUUUCGGAGCUCGGCCUCGAAAUUCAAAUUUCAUCAAAAUUCAUAUUUUUAUGCUUCAAAAAAUUCAAUAAAAAAGCACAGAUAUACACGAAGGCAUAACACACAUGUAUGUAAAUUUUCAGGACAAAACAUGUUGAAAUGAGGGUUGUGCCCAAAAAAAAAUCUAGGCGUGUUUAACACAUGAUACUAUUCAUCCUCUCAGGCCAUGAAUUUGUCUUUUUUGUACAGGUAGCAACUCAAGGUAUUUCAUCAUGAAUUUUUACACACAUGUGGGUUACAUCCUUAAAUACGCGCAUAUUUUUUCAGAAUUUUUUGAACCAUAAAAGUUUAAAUUUGAAUUUUUUAAAAAUAAAGGCCUCCAUGGUGCUCGGCCUCCAAAACGCCUCUCUCCGGCUAGGCAUACCAUAUACUAUUUCUUCCGUGUCGAAUUACUUGUCAUGAAUUUGUCUACGCGUUUUAGGAUUAGAUACAUUUGUAUGUAGAAAAAUCUAAGACUAGUAAUUUAAGACGGACGUAAUACCCCCUUUGUCUCAAAAUAAGUAUGGGUGGUUGAAUACAACGUUAUACUUGUCAUGAAUUACCAACAUUUAUCUUUGGACGGGGUCAUUAAGCCACACAAAAUCUCUCUCCCUGUUCUUGGUUUGGCUUAACCGGAUCUAGUGAUACACACGUGUGCCUUGCUACCUCAACUAAUUAGGCUACACUGAGUUCCCAUGCAGCCCCCAAAAAUGCUACACCUACGUAAGACAUUACGAAGCUUUACGUAAAUCCCUUGCACGCUAAUUAAACUGCCCCCCCUUAUUUUCAGGGUGGGCCUGCGCCCCCAAGUAAUACCCAAUAUAAAACUGCCACCUCUGAUUUUACUUAAGGUACGUAAAGAUAUUUACGUAGGUGUAGCUUUACUCAUGCAGCCUCCCUUCCCUGAUGAACUGGACCAAGCGAGGAGCCAUACCCAGUGGCUGCUCCGGCGCACCGGGCAUGGAAGACUGCGGCAGCAGAAGAAGGCCAGGGCAGCUACUGUGCGCAUGUGAGCCCUUGCGGUACAAAGCCCCACGCCUUUCGUGCUGCUAGUUUCUUCACUGCCGUACCGCACCACAUGCGUUUUCAGUUUCUUUUUCAGCAGGUAUUUUUUUUUCUGGAGGAGCUCCAGCUUUUUCAUCCUGCCAGUAGACACGCUGGGCCGAUGCUUACUUACUUUUUUCGCACAUUUCAGGCAGGGCCGUCACCACAGGCUUGGACCGCUAUCCGGCCCAAUUAACGCGACUGGGCCGGCCCACAAUGCGCAAAGCAUGGACCUGACAGGGAUUCGGCUGUGACAGAAGGCCACUGGUCCUUUUUCUCCGUUACGCGCGACUUACAAAAGGUCUAAAAGAAGAAUAGAGGGUACACCGGCCCUUUUUCUCCGUUACGCGCGACUUACAAAAGGUCUAAAAGAAGAAUAGAGGGUACACCGGUACAGUGAGUCGAACUUAUAACCUGGCGGUGCAAAACUCGUAUUGCUUGCCACUCCCACAGAAAGAUAUUUAUGUGAUAGAGAAGAGCAACUUUAUAAAACAUACAAAAGCGCCGAGAUUUGGAAACAUCUCGGAAAUUUUAUGAAACAUUUUCAUGAAAAUUGUCAAAACAAAAUUGAAAUCCGAACAUUUUUGAGAAUUUCUGAAAUUGCGAUCUUUUUUAAAGAACAUAAACAAAAUUUGAAAACAUGAACCCUUUUUAAAUCACCAAAAAAAUUCAAAGUGCAAGAUUUUCUUUUAAACCUGAACAAAAUUUUGAAGUGCGGACAAGUUUGAAACCUUAACAAAUAUUUGAAAUCUGCUCCCAUUUUUAACAAAAUAGGAAGUGCCCGCACUUUAAUUUUUUUUUUGAGGUUUUAAAUUUUGUUUCCAUUUUUAUAUAAAAAUGUGUAUGUUUCAAAACAUUUUUUUAUUUUCUUUUGGAACUUUUUCUUAGCAAUUGCCAAAAUAAUUUGGAAUGAACAUUUUGUUCAAACACAAAGAAAUUUUGAAAGCGAGUAUUUUUUAAACCUGAGCACUUUUUGAAGUGUGUACACUUUUUGAAAAAGAAUAUGUUGUAUGUGUUUAAAUAGUUUCGUGCUUCUCAUUUUAAACUAAUUGUCGUCUGUUAGAUUGGCUAGCGGGAGGGUUUUGAAGCACCAGUACCCAAGUUCGUUCGAUUUCCUUGAGUCUCAUUUUUUGGGUUAAAAUUUUUAAAUCGCCUUUUACGGAAAGGAAAAACAUGCUUCGCCUGAUGGGCCGGCCCAAUCGCGUCGGGUUGCAGCCCAGACCUGCCGACAAUCCCAUUAAAAACAGGCCGAGGUUCAAAAUAGACCGGGAUCAGAUAGUUCGGUGUACUGAUUUCACGGAUUAGAAGUUCGGGGUUUGAUUUAGCUUUCGACUCCAAGUUCAAGGUUUUUUUUAGACUUUCUCCGAAAAACAACUAUACAUCCUCCGACUCCCGCCACAGUUUUCACACCGCUUCACCAUUUUCCUACUGGCCACUGGAUAGUGGCUGACCUCUACCUACUGCCUGCACAAAAGAGCCCUGCCCUUGGACUGCUUGAUCACACGGCCCAGACAGAACCUGACUUCGUCCUUGCACCCCUCCCUCCAAGCACCGUGAAACCGAGGCGCCCUUCGUGCGCUCCAAGAGAUCCCUGCAGAAGCAUGAACAUGCCACGUCAUGCGGGCAACCAUGCACUAAGUUUCAAUUGGUACGGUGAUGAUGGCGAUGGCGGGUAACCACAUGCGGAUGCAAGUGCGGUAAUGGAUUACCGGAGGGCGUUGGCGAUCUUGGGGUUCUGCGGAUCAAGCUCCGAUGCCUUGACAAACGCGGUGUAAGCGCUGGCGUAGUCCUAACACAAGCGCAGAUUAGAUGCCAUGUUGAUGAGCUAAGAAAGAAUAAGGGUGAACCAAAUCAGGCCGACAAUAGUUAGUUGAGCGGAUCGGCUGACCGAUGGAUGGGUGGGUAGUGGAUAGCUGAAUCUGAACUUCUGAAGCACGGAAGGGAAGUGCAAACAGCAGUGCGAUGAUCACCUGCAGGAAGCGGAAGGCCUCGCCUUGGCGGUAGUAGCCUUUCCCCCAGUCAGGCCAUAACCUGAUGCAGGCCUGGGCGUCCGAAAGCGCCUCGUCGCCCACACCAAGGCGCAGCCAACAGAGGCUCUUGUUUGCAUAUAUGGAGGCGUCUAUGUCCUUUGGGUCAUCAAACUUCAAUGCCUAAAUGUGGAGAACAUCGAUUUCCAAGGUCAGAAUUUCCGAAAUGUAGAUAUGAGCCAAUUGAUUUGAAUUGGGUGCAGAGACAAAUGCCUCGGCAAUUUCAACAGUGGCUUUGCUGACAUUAGGAAAAGUAAAAAAUGAAACAAGAGAGAACAUUUGCGACUAAACAUCUGCAUACAAAAAUGAGAAGUUACCAUGUUGUACAUAAGUAUAGCCGUGUCGUAGUCCUUGGUUUCGUAGGCCUUGUUCCCUUCUAGUUUUAGUUCAGCUUUCCUCUUACAAGAGUCCUUUCUCACCUAAAUGCAAGAAGUAGUUUUACGGCAAUCAAUUACAAGAUAACCAUUGAGUGUUGAUAAAAACAAGACCCUCCGCAAGGGUUCACGAGAUGGUAAAUAGUGCUAGUAUCUACCAGUAACUAACAUCAAUAAGACAUACCCGCUCCUUGUAAGCAGCAGAAUUCACAUAACUCAUGAUGCCAGCAACACUCCAGCCAACCAUGUUUGGAGGGCAUCGGGUCACAGGAAACAGAAGUUGAACAAGUCUUUUUCCACCUUGGACCGCAGCAAUUUCUAUCGGCAACCUACCAAGCUGUUACAGAGUACAUAAACCAUGAGUUCUCUGAGGAACAUUCUUGUUCAGGCAUAAGGAUAAAACUCUAUGACAUACUAUGGGCCUGUUUGAUUCCAAUAAGUCACCUGACUUAUAAGUUAUAAGUCAGGUGACUUAAAACCAGUGACUUAUAAGUCACGCCUGUUUGGUUGUCACCUGACUUAAAGUCACCUUUCCACACCUUUCCACACCAAUCAACAUCAUGCAGGUGAUGGGACCCACGCAAAAGGGGGUGACUUAUAAGUUUUAGGGCCUGUUUGGUUCCAAUAAGUCACAAGUCAGGUGACUUAAAACCAGUGACUUAUAAGUCACGCCUGUUUGGUUGCCAUCUGACUUAUAAGUCACCUGAGCACAUCUUCCCACCUUGUUUUUUAUGUAAAGAUGGUGGGACCCAUGCAAAAGGGGGUGACUUAUAAGUUUUAAGUUGGGGUGGAGCAACUUAUGACUUAUAAGUUGGGGUGACUUAUAAGUUGGGUCCGUUUGGUAAAAUAAGUUACUUUUUACACCUUUCGACUUGUAAGUUGGUGACUUAUUUGGAACCAAAUAGGGCCUUAAGUUGGGGUGGAACAACUUAUGACUUAUAAGUUGGGGUGACUUAUAAGUCGGGUCUGUUUGGCAAAAUAAGUCACCUUUUUCACUUUUCGACUUAUAAGUUGGUGACUUAUUUGGAACCAAACAGGCCCUAUAUGUACUACUUGAAGAGUAUGAAAUGUGGCAGGAAAGGGGAUUCAGUAUGCUCACUUCGUCAGGAAGGUUCGGAUCUGCUCCAGCCUUCAACAAGCACUUGACGAAUCCGAUGUUGCGACGGCGGCUGCACGCUAACAACAGAGGGGUCGCUCCACUGAAUCCACCGGCAUGAACAUUAGCCCCAGCCUAGUUAACAUUUCCAGAACAGUCUCAGCUUAGAACAAGGGAAUUCGAUAUGCACAGUUCAUGUGGAAAUUUUAUACAGAACUCAAGCGAUCCAAGCAUUGCAAGUGCUACUUAGAAAAAAUAACCGUUACGCCGUGACAUCGCAAUCAACACGAACUUGGAGAUCAAUUAGCACAAGAGAAAGUCAUGUAGCACCUCAAUGAGCAGCUUCAUGCAUUCCACGGAGCCACCAAGAAGCGAUGAGACCAAGGGCGUGAAGACACGGCUGGCGAACUUGUUGGGCUGCAAAAUUGCAAGCUGGUCAGCCUUGAACAAAAUGCACGCACCAUGCGAACGGCCGCACAUACAUCGGCGCCGUGGCGCAGCAGGACACGGAUGACUUCCGGGCACCCCCGCAUGGCGGCGACGUGGAGCGCUGUGCCCCGGGGGUUCGCCGCGCCCACGUCGGCGCCCUUGCACAGGAGCAGCAUCGCCAGGUCGCGAUCCCCUGCAUCACGGACGACGCGCCAACAUGUCAAUCGCGCACGCGCACUGGUGCCCGCUCGGGAUGGCAUGGCCAUGGCCGCGGCGGAGUGCCCGCGGCGCUGCCUCUCAACGCGACGCGAGCAACAGGAGCACGGAGCAGAGUGAGGUGGCGUCGGUCGGCGAGGUGCGUGCGUACGUACCGUUGUAAGCGGCCCAGUGGAGCGGGGUCUCGCCGUCGACGUCCGGGGCGCGCGGGCUGGCGCCGCGCUCCAGGAGCCAGGCCGCCGUGGCGGUGUGGCCGAAGGUGGCCGCCAGGAGCAGCGGCGUCUCGCGCUCAUCGGAGAGGGCGUCGACGGGGAUGCCGAGGUCCUGGACCAGGUAGCGGCAGACGUCGGUCCUGCCGUUGGUCGCGGCCAGGUGCAGCGCCCUGCCGCACGUCGACCAGACGCCGGCGGUGGCGUCCGCGCCCGUGGCGCUAGGCGCCGGCGGCAGCAACUCCAGCGCCAUCCCUCGACGUCGCAAUAUCAGAUCGAUUGUUAGUCCAUUACAAUAAUACGGAGUACAAGCUUCCCUGAAGGCGUUUUGGGGCGUACUGGCAAGGAGGUCGAGGUUGCCGUCGAUGGCGGCAUCGAGGAGCAGGCGCCGCCGGACCUCUUCUGUCCGCGCGUCAACGGCCACAUCGACGCCUGUAUCUCUCACACCAAGCAUACCAAAUAAGAAGCAAAGAAACGGAUGGUAAAUGAAUCCAACGCACGCAGCGACAGACAAACCGGACGACGACGGCGGAGGCGGCGCCGACGAGGACGGUGAGCACGCCGCCGUGGGCAUGUCCAUGGUCGAAUGUGACGUGUUCGUCCUGACUUCUUGCUUGGACGGAGAGCGAGAGGAGACGAGAAAUGCGGUGUCUCGGGAGCUGCGCUGGGCGGUGGUGUGCUACAGGCAGCACAAGCGACGAGAGCUGAGCUUUGAUGUGACGCCACGCGGGAGCAGGGGAGGAAAAUGGCAGGCAAGGACUCUCUCCCCCAGGUCCAAAAGCGCACGCAUUUCGUUGUUGGUGUCUCUCUCGUACUUGGCAAACGUGUGGAGGAUAAACAUGGUGUACGAGCAAGCCCGUCACUGCACCAUACGGCCAACACACGGGAAAGGAAUCGGGUGGAGACGGGCUGCAAACAUCCUCUGUGCGUACCCGCUCUAAUCUGUCGCCACCUAUUCUGUUUUACCCCUUUAUGUUAACAAAAUUCGAAAUUGACCUCGUCUACAACAGAAUUUUGAAUCUGGUCUUUUUUGAUCACGCCAACAUUCCUGACGUUUCGGUUACAUAGGCGUCUGGACCCUGUGACCUGCACGAGCUUAGGGGGUGUUUGUUUCCAGAAAUUUUUUGGUGUAGGAACUAGAAAAAAUCUCUAGCAAACCAAACAGGGUGGGACUUUUUUGGGACUUUUUGCUAAAAGUCCUUAGAAGCACCUCCUUGAGAGUUUUUUUCAAAAAAUCUCAGGGACUAGAAAAAGUCCUAGGACUAGAGAAACAAACACCACCUUAGUUGGUGUUGACACGACAAAGCGGAAACGCCAGGCUUCUUGACGUUUGAUUUGGUCGUGGCCGCUCAAAUUUGCUAACUGCUGACCGGCUACAAUCGCUGCAUGCAUACUCGGCUGCUCGCUAGCAUCUUUGCGUGCGUGCACACAUGCAUGCGCCCCACAAUGGCUUGUUAUUGUUUGCCGUAGCACACCCAUUACCAGGGUCAUCUAAUUUAAUUGUCAUCCAUGGUCUUUCGCUACGUAAACGCAGAUAUGACCUCAUAAUCAAAUGAUAGAGCCUCAAUGACACUAUUCAGAGAUGACCCAAACAAUUCCCACAAAUUGGAACGUGUCUUCAUAUAGUACAGUACUAACCAACGAUGAUUGAUGUAAAUUUCGGCAAGAGAGAUUCGAACAAUAUAUAUCAUCUUUCCCUACUAAUAAACCAGCGAUCUCUUCUGGUCGUACGUCGCUGACGUUUUUUCAAAAAAGCCCCUAUGCUUUUGCGUAUUAAACCCGCGGUACUAUUUUAAGUGAAUCUGAUAAAAUCGUUUUCACAAAAAACACCCUGCAUCUGCCGGUGCCCGCCGCCGCCGACCGCACCCAACACCUCCAUGCGCGGGCUCGCGCUCGUGCCUCCCCGCCGCCCCGCGCCGCCGACGGAAGAGCGUGCCGCCAUGCCCUCUCUCCUUAUUCCCUCCCCUUUCUCCGGUUCUAUUUCUCACCUCCCUCUUUCUCUUUUACAGGAGGCGGAAGCCAUGGCCGCCGGACCGCCGCCCCGCGUCGGCCGGCCAUCGGAGCGCCGCUGCCGGACCAACGCGCGGCCCUUCCCUCCUCUCCUUCUCCCCCUCCCUCCGGUUCUAUCUCUCACCUCCCUCUCUCUCUCCUUUGCAGGAAGCCACGGCCGCCGGACCUCCAUGCCUCCGCGAGCUCGCGGCCGGCCUAUGACCUCUACGCUGCCUCCAGUCCUCUCCGGACACCUCCUUGUAUUCUUCUCAUUCUCCGACGCUGCCAAGUUCGCCCGAGGAAGAAGCGCCGAGUUUGCCGGAGGAACAAGAACAUCCGUCCAAUGUCGCCUGAGCUACACCAGAGGUAUGUAUCCCCUUGAUAUUCACUGGAUGGAAUCCCCUGUUUACAUCCAAAGGUACUAAGUUUGUGCAAUUCAGAAUAUUGAUGGUCAAGAUAUCCCCAAAUAACAGUUAUGCCUAUUAGUCUUAGAGGAUUUUCUGUCCAAGCAGAUUUAUGUUUUGCAAGAAUUAGUCUACUUAUUACAGGUAGAACCAGUUUUUCGUCACAACAUGAAUUUCCUGAUGAUAUCCGUAGUGUGCUCAUUUGCUUGAUUUGGUCAAGUAGAGCAAGCUUUACAGAUUUCAGAAUUCAGUUAAUGGAAUAAGUUAGAAUUAUGGUUCUGGGCAUCAUAUAUUUUGUAUUAUGUUGUUGCAAAGUAGUAUAGUUUAGUUAUAUGGUUUUACCACUAGCUCUACAAAGAUAUCAUCCAUGGUCCCUGCUUGUAUUGCAUUGCAUACAUAACACUAUUUGUUUGCUAGCUUGACUGAACUUUAGCCGCUGCUCCUACGAUGGCCAAAGUAUAGGUUGCAGCUCGAUCUGGGACUUGCAGUAGGAAAGCAAGCCACGAUUUCUUCUUAGGGAAGUGAGUUGUAUCCUUGCCGAAAUGUACAUCUCGAUUCCAGUUUUAUUGGACUAUUCAAGUGUCAACUCUUCGCAUGGAUAUAUUCAUAUUUGAUCUGUUGGGUUUGUAAAAACUUUAUUAACAAAUAGCUGUGGUUGCUGUGCAAAUGGAAAUUGUUAGGCUCUUUUACGCUGUAGGAAUUUCUGACAUGAGCUUGGCCUCAUGGAAAAAUCAUUCGUACUGCAGACAUCUCUACCCUUGAAAGCUAAUCACUGGAAAGAAUCAUUUCUUCAGUUAUCAAUUAGCUUUGCAGUGGCAUACACAUGAAUAGAUAUCUCAGCGUGUACUACAAAUAACUUAUGUUGGAUAUGUGUGCUUUUCAAUAUUUAUUUGAAGUGUAACAAGCCUCUCCCAGUUGGAUCUAUUCUGAACAUAUGAGUUUAUCUCCUGAACCCAUGUUUACUUCCUGAACAUAGAGUAGCAAAACUGAAAGUAUAUAUAUAGCUUAUGUGUACUAUACUUUCAGUAAUAUGGAUGCCAAUAUCAUUACUUUUUUCCGUUAGGGGGUGGUGGGGAUUCACUUUGUUAUAAAUCUGAUUGAUAGUUACUGCUCUGGUCUUUAUUUUUUUGCAUAAGUCUACUUAGAGUAGCAGUGAUCAUACGUGUUUGCUUAUCUGUUACGAAGCUUCGUAUUACAUCAGAGUUAAGGUAAACUCAAGUAUAGCGUUUCUGGAAUAACAUAAUUGUGUUAGCAUGGAAGGAUGAGUACUCUGAAGAAAAUAGGAUGAGGCUAUAACUAAGAAACAUCAGGCCGAGAUUAACAUUAUAUUGCUGUAAAGGACAAAGGGUUUGCUGCUAUACCAUCGUAUUUUCUGCCAUGGGUGGCUUCAGAGAUGUUGUGUUCUGUGUCAUGGGUUACUUUUUCUUUCCCAUAAAGUAUUUUUUAGUUGCAUGUAUAUAUCACAUUGCCAAUAUUUGCAUGUGUGAGUUGAAUGAUGCACUUGGUAGGAUCAAAAGGUUCAAAACUUCUACAUGUGUUGCUGCAACAUAGCAUUAAUUUCUCCUAGAGAAACCGUAAAAUCGAACAAUUCCUAGCAUUACAUCAUGGGCAGACUAAUAGUUUUCCACGUUUUGUCAACGUGACAAGAACUGGAUGCUAUAUGAUAAAGAGUCAUGUUCUUAAAGAGGGUAUUUUAUCUCUUAGGGGUUGCUUUGCUUACCUGUAGGAUUUUCAUCUUUUUGUCUUUUUAGUUAGUUUGUUUACCCUCUUUCUGUACAACUCUUUUUAGUUAGUGAAAUAAUCUAAGGCAAUUUGGCAUAGAGGUGUAUUUAUACAAAACUGAAACUAUAUAUUCACUUUGGCUUGAUAUUGUAACAAAUGCCUGUGCAUUAAUCUGUACAAAUACUGCCAAUUCUGACUUAACCUGUUUUCAUCUCCAAAUUUAAGAGGGGACAGUCUCACGUGAUUCAGUAGAUUUAUUUGUACCUAGCUGAUUGUGUUGUGCAAUAACACCAGUGAAAGGAAGGAGGCGGCACGCCGCGCUUGUGAAACAGCCCAUCUAAAUGCUUGUUGUUAGUUUCGCAAGAGAAAAACAAUAACUGCAUAUCAGCUCUCAUUUUUACUUGCAUAUAGUGCUACUUGAUUUGCUUGUAGAAAUUUUUACCUGACAGCAAAGUGUUUUGCUGUAUUCACAUUGCCAAUACUAAAAAAUUGAAGACAGUGUAAGCAAAGAUGGGGAAAUUCUCUAGCUGAGACUGCAUCUCUACUGCCAAUAUUUUUUAGCAAGCAAAUUCUCAACGGAAAGUCCACUACUUUGUAAAUCUUCUUGGCAUCCUGAAGAUCUAAAUUUCGAAUUCAGUAGAGAGCGCCUUGCUUUCAGUUUAUUCUUGAACUUGUUUGUUUUAUGUUGUGGCACCAUUUACUCCAUGGUAGUUCCCUGUCGGAAUAACUUAAUUUUUCAUUAGACACAGUCCUAAGCUUUUUACAUGAAACAAAACAUAAUAAAAUAUAAGGUAUGUGUUUGAUCUAACCUGGCAGUCCACCAUGACGAAAACCAGUUCAGGUAGUGUUCCUGCUUUUUGUCUUAUGAAUUCUCAUACCCUAGGAAUUCGUCCAAGGACCGUCGGAAGAUCAGAAUUGUGGCUAAUGUCCCUUAAGAGGUGUGUCGUGCAUGUCUAUAGUUUUUUGGCAUGCACAAAAUAUUUGGCAAAUUGCAAAACAAAAAUUACUAUUUUUCCUGAAUGUACAUUUUUUUAUAAAGUUCAAUUGUUGGCAAUUAGAAGCAAUAUAGCCAGACCUUUUUCACUAUUGUUACUGAAUUUCUUUGUAACUUGAUUAAAUAAUUCAGGAGCGUACGCAUUGUGCAAGCUGUAAGAUGUACCUAUUCAAAACAAAACCGAACUGUCCUCUUGCGUAUAAACCUUCAACUCUCAAUAAGAUCGUAGUGCACUAUAGGAACUGUCAUUUUUCUGGGAUGAAAGUUCUGUUGUAAGAACUGACCAAUACAUCAGGGCAAAACUUCUGUGAACCUUGCAAAAAAUCUGCUCCUGCCCGUUUGAUUGCAACAUCUGCCCCCGCCGCCCUAGAAAGAGAGAGUUUGUUGUGUGUGUACUUGUGAUGAUGGGGAGGUGGGCACGAACGCGUGGACUGCAGCCCGGAAUACCUUUGGCGUGCACCGGGACGCGGACGCAAUGAAACCCACGCUGCACGACCUCGGUGGAGAUUGAAGGUUUUGGGACAAGGGGACAUUGGCGGCGGCAAAAGACCACAUGUGGUCGUCCAUGAUCUUGGGCUGGAGGCGGCAGAGAGGCCCGACACGAUGUGCAUCUCCCAAAGCAUGCCCACCCGCCGCCGCAUCCAAGAGCAUGUAGCCACAUCACGCCUACUUUGACGUCCUCUGAUGUUGCGGCUCGACGGCUAUUCAUUCACGGCCUCGGCCAUGGUGGCGCGAUAAUCCAUUGGGCCACUUCGAUCAAGGGUGGAGACUGGAGAGAUCAUCGGUGGUCGAUAACGGCGAGGGCUGGUGGCAAUGGAUGGUGCUUGUUCGGUGCCGAGGGAUGAAGACGGCAAAAGGAUGAAUUCCCUUUUUCUCUGCCCCUCUCUCGUUGCGUUGGGGAGAGAAGAUGGGGGUGGAGGUAACGUUGGGAGGGACAGGACCUUGGCGGUUGGCCGGGAAGGGGGGGAGGGAGGUGAGGUAAGGCCGCCGGAGAGAAAAGAGACUCCAGUGGAGCUCCUCUUUCUCUCCAUCUCUCUCUCUCUCUCUCUCAAGAUUAUUAGGGAAGGAGCGAUGGACUGGGGUGGGUAGUGCUCUAGAUUAUUCGGUGGCCCUCAGCGGCAGAUCCUUGAAAGCAAGUUAAAAGAAGUCUUUUUUUUUGGCAUACAACGUGUCAGCCUAGGAGUGAGCACCCACCAGCGCCUCAAAUGCAUGGCAUGGGCUAUAGCUUACCACUUUAAUUCUUUCAUAUAUUAGAAGUAGACAAAUGCAAAUGUCCAUAGUAAUAAACUUGUGGUCACAAGAUUGCUAGCUUAAAGUUUGCUAGAUUAUGUAAAUGGGUAAUUUUGUUGCCUGCUUUUUAGGUUUCCAUAGUAUGACUCAUUCUACAUAAUGGCAGGCAAGAAAAAAAAUAGCUUGACUAUUCCAUGCACAACUAUUCUUUCAUCGAAUGAGACCGCGGAUCUGAAUUAGGUCCUGACAAAUGCCAUUAGGAUAUAAGAAGUGUUGUGUAAUGCCACACAGAGCAUGUUCAAAAAAUAUUGUUCGUUGCAACGCACGGGCAUUUGUACUAGUACUAAUAAACCAGCCAGUGCUUCUGGUCGUACGUCGUCGUCGAUUUUGCAGAAAACUCCUUGUGGUUUUCGGUAUUAAACCCGCGGUCCUUUUUAAAGUGAGAAAACGUUUCGAGCCCAGAUCCGGCCCGCACAGGCCCGAGUGCCGCCGCCGCCCCCGACCCUCCUCCUCCCGUGCGCUUCCUCCCCGGCCUCCCUCGCGCGUCGCCCGCUCCCCAGCCUCUCUCGCGCCGCCCCAACCUCCACCAGCCGCACCUCCCACCACAUCCCGCCGGCAGCCAAGAAACGUCGCGCCGCCUGGCACCCCUACCUAGCAGCGCGACCCCGGCCCCUUCCACUACCCGCGCUGUUGCGCCCCUCCCGCGUAUGGCCACCAGCGCCGGAUCCGGCCACCGAGGACCCCUGCGCCGCCAACCACCGCCUACAGCGCUGGAUCCGGUCGUCCCCGGCCAUCUACCACCUUCUUCUACGUUGAGCCGCAGGAGAGCUCCCCCCUCUCUCUGCAGUUCGGCACUGGAAGCCGGGCUCAUGGACCGCGCCGCCGUGACCAGAUGGGCCGUUCCCCUCCUCCCUUCUUCCUCACAUUCGAGCAUGCGCAGCUCACAUGUCGCUCACUUUUCUGUUGAGGAGGUGAGCAAGUGCUCUACCGCCUUCCUACGGCUGUCACCUCCACGACACUCACCCACACGGUGGACCACAGUGAAGACGUCGGCCAUCUCACGAUGAAAAUCCCUGCCAACGCGGACUUGCAAUUUGUUCUGCGUGCGUGCAAUACUUCAGGUGCAGUGCAUCGGCAACGCUGCUUGCGUUCGGGCAUCACGGGAGUUGUAGUUCGGUGCCCAGUCCCACAAGGUGCAGUGGCAAAAGUUUGUGGGUUGCAGUUUGAUUUGUGCAAUUUAAGGUUCAGUUUUCAGUUCAGCUCCCUGUUUCACGGGAUAUGUGUAGUUCAUUACUGCGUGCUAGCAGAUUUAGUGUUGUUGUGUGUGUGCAGUGCAGUUCAUCGGUGGGGCGGUCUGGCUGGCGGCCAUGUGUGGUUCUUGCUCCUACCUCGGAUCCAAUUCUCCACGACAUCCAGAUCUGCGAGUGUGGUUUGGGCAGCACAUGCAGCUCAUGGGGCGGUGUUGGUUCAGCUCGUUGGCAUGCGGUUCUGUAUCGCGGGCGUGCAGCUCACCAGUGUCAGGCUAGCAGUUCCUUUGGCGUUGGCAACAAUUUGUUGUUCGUGUGCCUCUCUAGGCUCCUACCGUAGAUCUGGAUAUGUGGAUAGAUUUCAUUUCUUCAAUGGUUCAUUGAUGCAGGAGUAAGCUUACAAAGCGGCAUCCUACUUAUGUAGCUUUCCGUCCACUGACUAGCCGGCUAUCCAUGCAACUGGUAAUUACUGUGCAGCAGCCAAAAUUAAAAAAAAUCAUACAUGCGGCCUCUCUUGCAAUUGAUUAUAUAUUUUAACAAACACGAGAUGAUGAAACAUUCAUCUAAUUUUAAGAGAAUCAAUAAAUUAUAGAAACUGAAGUGGCACAUAUAUGACGGUCUGAUCUGUAGGCCUUUUAUGUUUUUUUCCAAAAGUAGAGAAGGCAGAAGAAUCUCAUCUCCAAAGUGUUUAGUGCAGAGAAGAUGAACCAUGCAAAAACUAAGGGUGGACCAUGGUGGCUUCACUGCUAGCGGAACGACAGAGGGCUUGGCUGCUACCAGGGUGAUUCAAAGGGAGUAUAUAGGUAGAGUUUUUGCAGCCUCUUGCACGAAAUAGUAGCUUCUAUUACAUGACAUGAUUUUGCCGCUGUAAUGAUAUGUUUCAUGCGAGAGGACAUAAUUUGCAUCAUACUUUUCUGUCCAGUUAGUUCCAAAUCACAAUGUUUGUUACAAUUUGGUGGAAUAAGAUGAGUCAUAUAUACACCCGAUGUAAGCUUUCACAUCAGCCUUUGCUCUUGAUUGUCUUUGCAAGUCCAUAGAUAUAAUUUUUAGGAUUUUUCUUUACUCAUAGUAAGUGCUGAAUAUUUUGUCCUUCAACCCUUUAGGUGUAAAUAUCUGUGAUGUGGCUAGCAAAGUUGGUAACACGCACAGUAUAACCAUUAUGAUCUGCACAGGGAUAUCACCUAGGUGCAUAAAUCAUAAUCAUUCAGUUUUUAUUUGGCAAGCUGGAGCUACCCGGAACUUUCGAUUUGGUGCCAAGAUGGAUGGAUUCCACUGGGUGACCCACUGUCAGGUAUUGUUGUUCAGUUAUCUUGAGGGUAAGGUGGAUAUGUUCUGUUUGAGAUCAAAGCUUGGUAUUGCUAGAAAAUAUAUAUGUGAUGUGCACUGAGAUUUCAGAUAUAUAACAGCAGUGAUACAACACAUUGUUUCCCUUGCUAUCGAUGACCACUUGAAGUAGCAUACCUUAUAAUAAUACUUCUAUCUUGGCACGAUGAGUGUUGUUCAGUGGCAAUAUUCGCUAUGCCNNNNNNNNNNNNNNNNNNNNNNNNNNNNNNNNNNNNNNNNNNNNNNNNNNNNNNNNNNNNNNNNNNNNNNNNNNNNNNNNNNNNNNNNNNNNNNNNNNNNNNNNNNNNNNNNNNNNNNNNNNNNNNNNNNNNNNNNNNNNNNNNNNNNNNNNNNNNNNNNNNNNNNNNNNNNNNNNNNNNNNNNNNNNNNNNNNNNNNNNNNNNNNNNNNNNNNNNNNNNNNNNNNNNNNNNNNNNNNNNNNNNNNNNNNNNNNNNNNNNNNNNNNNNNNNNNNNNNNNNNNNNNNNNNNNNNNNNNNNNNNNNNNNNNNNNNNNNNNNNNNNNNNNNNNNNNNNNNNNNNNNNNNNNNNNNNNNNNNNNNNNNNNNNNNNNNNNNNNNNNNNNNNNNNNNNNNNNNNNNNNNNNNNNNNNNNNNNNNNNNNNNNNNNNNNNNNNNNNNNNNNNNNNNNNNNNNNNNNNNNNNNNNNNNNNNNNNNNNNNNNNNNNNNNNNNNNNNNNNNNNNNNNNNNNNNNNNNNNNNNNNNNNNNNNNNNNNNNNNNNNNNNNNNNNNNNNNNNNNNNNNNNNNNNNNNNNNNNNNNNNNNNNNNNNNNNNNNNNNNNNNNNNNNNNNNNNNNNNNNNNNNNNNNNNNNNNNNNNNNNNNNNNNNNNNNNNNNNNNNNNNNNNNNNNNNNNNNNNNNNNNNNNNNNNNNNNNNNNNNNNNNNNNNNNNNNNNNNNNNNNNNNNNNNNNNNNNNNNNNNNNNNNNNNNNNNNGGUAAUAGUGAUGCACCUUUGCCAAGAAGGUUCUUUCCUGUUCAAUGCAAUGACAGAACGCUGAAACAUCAUGGUGUCCAUGCUAAAAGAUAAUGAUUCACCCCUGGCUUCUUAUUGUUGUAUACUCUUGGGGAAUAGCUUUUGGAAACCAUGAUACAUAUAUAUCUGUGAUAGAUGCUUAAUAUAAGUGGCCAAAUUAAUGGGUAGAGCAAUCAAAGAACCAUAAUUUAUAUCCCUUUAAAUAAAGAUAAGUAUUCACUCAUUGUUUAUUGGUUAUAUUUUCAGGUCAUGAAUCAUUUCUUUUGUUGAAGGAAGAGACUCCAUUUUCUGUCGAGGACCGAAUCGCACUACCAAAUAGGCUUACUUGGUAAGAAGAAAUUGAGAAAGGGGAGCAUCUUACACCCAAUAGGAAGCGGUGGUCUAAUCCUAAUCUCACCCAAUAGACGUACAUUACUACAAAAUUUUCUUGCAUACCGCCGCCUAUAUUUUUUCAUUACUAACAUAACCUUUUCAGAUCACCCGCAAAAAAAACCUUUUUACAUCAAGCAUGUCUUGCAUUACAUUUGGCCAACUAUACUGCAACUUCAAACCACAAUGCUUAUGUACGUUGACUGUAUUUUUUGGAAUUGAAUUAUGUAUUCGAAGCUAUUGUUCAGCAUAGACACUGUUUAAAAAUCAUACAAGGGGCACACAAAAUGUAUAUGUACUCUUCUGUUUGAAUAUAUGUCUAUAAAUGGAUUAACUGAGCCAAAAGCAGUGCCUUGUUCAUACGAAUAUAUGUGUACCACAUCUUUCAGAUAAUCAUAUAUGUUUGCCGGCAGAUUAUAUAUGCAUUAAACUACAAACAAAUUUAUUUGUGCGACUUGAUACCGGAUAUAUACAGAUUGCAUGUUCUUUUAGGGCAUCUCUAAUGCUAGGCGCCAGUGAUGGGCACUAGGAUUUAUUUCCUGAUAGAUCGCCAGCUACAUUAGUUGUUCCCAGUGCCUGAUGCCGCAUUGAUGCCAAUAGAUGCAUCAAGCGCUUUCUUUUUUUCCUGGACAAGCGGGUAAAGAAACCGGGAGCCGGCCCUACGUAUUUAGAGCCCGUGAUAAGUGCCUAGCAUUGGAGGAGAGGGCACUUACUUUUUCUUAAAUUUUUGAUGUUUUUUUGCUCUAGGCGCCUGCACAAGAGUAACAUUGUAGAUGCCCUUAAGCUAUAGGCUAUCAAAGUUGUUUUACCAAUCACAAAUAAGCAACCAAUGAAGAAAUAGUACAAUGAUCUAUUGGAAAUUACAUGUUCCCUAUUUAACACAUCAACCAGUCAAAGUGGCCAUCUUGCAUUGACCUUUAAUGCGCGAUUUUUGGCCAGGCCACCGAACGAGGUAAGCAGGUUGAAGUCAAAUUUGAGCAUAUAGUUAAUCGAGCACGAUCCACUAAAAAAUAAGUUAAUCGAGCAUGAAACAGUACAUUGAGUCCGAGCUUUGUUGACAGCCCUAUCGGCUGGAGGUAAACACAUACUUUUUCCUUUUUUUUCAUAAAAUAAAAUACUUGUACUAACGUUUAUUCCAUGCAUUUUCAUACAUUAUCAACAUUUUUUGCAUUAUUCAAUUAAGUUACUCUUUUAAUUCACAUUAUUAAGUUAGAAACACAAAAAAUAAUUAUUUGUUUUCUUCUAUUGCAACGCAGUCAAUGUUUUCUCCCGUUGCAACGCACGGGCCUUUUGCUAGUAUAUAUCAUUGUGGGAAUCUCCAACGCUAAUUCUCGAACUGUUCGUAUCCGUUGCUCGGUCCGGGCUUCAUUCACAAUCUAAUGCGGUACCCCAACAGUCCGCGAACGUCCGGACGUUCAUUUUUCGACAAACCGGAGGCAAACUAGGGGAGGUGGUUGCCGCACAUUCAUCCCCUCAAGACUUCUCGAGAGCGUCAGUGUCACAUUCAUCCCGGCUCUGAGCAGGCGUGACCCCUUACUGGUGUCAACAUUGAAGUGGUGCGCUAGCCGAGAGCGUCGCCUACAUCGUGUCGAGGUCUCCGCGCCUAUUCAAUGCCAGAGCUAUGGGACUCGACGGGACGGGACUAAUAUCUACCACGUUCAAACAAACUGCGCGUCCAUUCGCCUACUGGCAUUAAACAGGUACGCCGCCCGGCAAACCCACUUUGACACACUGCGCCGCUUGGCCUGGCUGACAUCCGCUAUUUAAACGAGGGCACACCCGGCCGGCACAACGCACCACACCAGCGUCUCGCUUCACAUCCUCCUCCGCACCACCUCCGCCAUGACUCUAUUGCGUUGUGGAAGAGUCUCCCAAUGGAGCAGAAGCACGAGCUGGCCACUCUUGCGGCAGGCUGGAAGGGCUGCCGUGCGAGGCAGAUAGAGGCCGACCUACUUCCGGAGGGUCUCCGAUGAUGACAUGAUGAUGGAGAUGUCCUUUGACGACGAGCCGACGCCCCUCCUCACGCCUGUCCAUGUCGGCUUGACCAUGGAGCAGGUGCAAGUGCACUUCGACGUGUUCAUGGCAGAGGAUCAGCUGGUUCCACGGUGGGUGUCGACGUUCCGGCAGGCACAGGAAGAUGUUUGUCCCUUUGUCAUGCGUAUGAUUUGCCACGUCAAGAAGAGAUUCAAAAUUUGGCUUGUGUUUUUGUUUUCACUAUCAAGAGCUAUGUGUUGUGUGUUUUGUCAUGAUUUAUAAAAUGGUAGUUUACUACAUUUACGGGCACGGUUGUGAGGGUUUUCUGCAUUUACGGACACGAUUGUGAUGAUUUUAUGCAUUUCACUCGAUUCAUAAUCAAAGAGGAACGUCUAAGUGAUUUUUGAUGCUAUGUACUCCGUACUCUGAAAGGGAACUACAGUGGUAGGAUACUGAUGUUGCAGUACAGUUGCAUACGUCUGAAAUGGAACUAAAGUGAUAGAAUACUGACGACAGUGAUAGGAUACUGACGUUGUAGUACAGUUGCAUACGAGAGUGUACUGACAAUACCCAAGGCUCAGUUAAGGAAUCUAUCUGGUAGCAUUCAUGGUGGAGUAUAUACCGAUCUUACUAUUUGAGGGUCGGGGAAUCUUAACAUCAAGCAAAUCAUGAAAAACUCGAAACACUAUCACGGCGCAUCGCUGUUAAUCAACGUGCUACGCCACACAAAAAGUUAAAACAGAAAUUUUGUCUCCUCAUCCGGAGCUGCGCGUACGUUCCUCGGCUCGAAUACCUCGCAUCGGCUUCAGAAAACAACUACGUGGCUUGUAUCAAUCACUUCCGCAGUAAUCAGAGUUUCCAUGGCUGAGCGACAGGAGCCCUCUUCUCCAUGCGGUCGGAUUGGUUGGCGUGGGAUCGCUGGUUCGGCGAUGGCCGCACCGCGCCAGAACGCCUCGCCGCCCUCUCUCUCCCAUGGCUGCAUCGGGCCGGAACGACAACCAUGGCCAUUGCGGGUCGUGCUCCCACUAUCAGAAGUGUCACCUCCGUCGAGAAGGACGGGAGUCGCCAUGCCGGAGUCCGCCACUGCCGCCGCCUCAGAUCAUGUAAACCAUGCAGAUGAGGACGGUCGCUGCCCAUAGUGACGCCAAACGCAGCAACAUGCGACAUAGACUUGCCGCAACCGCACGUAACAGAAGACCAGGAGGACGACACAACCACCAUGACUUGAAGAAGAGGCCGAGAGGAUGAUGUGAUCGACAGUGGUCAUGGAGCUGACGGAGAUGAGACACGACAGGUAUGGGCGUUGCCUGGUUCUUCGUCUGUCACUUAGAACAUCCUCAACAUGCAUGUGUACAGUACAUUGUCAUGCCAAAAGCUAGAUCAGGAAGUCAAGUAAGAUGUUUUAUUUGUAAUGAACCAUUUGAGUAUGACAUGUUAGUAAUUUUGUACACAAUGAUUUGUUGAUAUUUGGCUUGAUAGUACAAUAGCUUGUUCAAAACAAAGUAUUCCUUCCAUGACGCACCUAAUGUAAAAUUAAUGUGUUGUGAAGAAGUAUAUAUUGUACAUUGAGGUAAUGUAACUUUAAUUUAAAAUUGAUGUGUUGUGAUGAAGUACAUAAUAUAUAUUUUACAUUGUGGUAAUGUAACUUUAAUUCUCAACUCUUUUUACAGUAGGCGGUUGAUAAAGUUGGGCAAGUUUUGACCAUUCCCAAAGUUGGAAUGGCAUUCGAUUCUGAGAAGAAAGCAUAUGACAUCUACAAUGCAGCAAGAUUGGGUUUAGUAUCAGAAAGAGCCAGACAAAGCGCCGCCAAGAUCGAACUAUAUACCAAAAAUAUAUAGUUUGCAGUAAUCAGGAAGAACGAGAAACCGGGUCAUCAAAGGCCACUACAAGAACAAGUUGUGAUGCUCGUUUUCAAUUUAGUGUCAGUAGAGAGGGGAUCAUAAUCAUUAUCAUUAUCAUUAUCUUGCUAGUCCCAAUAAGUUGCGCAAGAUGAGGUUUUCGCAAGCCUUCGUGAAAAUGAGUUGGAUGAAGAUUUUAGUUUGCGUCGGAAGAACCCGGCCAGUUAUAGCAGUUUACCAUUGUUGAAGACCGCGGCUGAAUCGUAUACUAGUAGGAUGUAUUCGGAGUUUGAGAAAGAAUUCAAAAUGCAUUUUACAUUCUCUUGUAAACUGCUAAAAAAGAAGGGGCAAUCUUCACAUAUAUGUGUUGGAAAUAUGCCCUAGAGGCAAUAAUAAAAUGAUUAUUAUUAUAUUUCCUUAUUCAUGAUAAUUGUCUAUUGUUCAUGCUAUAAUUGUAUUAACUGGAAACCGUAAUACAUGUGUGAAUACAUAGACCACAACAUGUCCCUAGUGAGCCUCUAGUUGACUAACUCGUUGAUCAAUAGAUGGUUAUGGUUUCUUGACCAUGGACAUUGGAUGUCAUUGCAUUGAUAACGGGAUCACAUCAUUAGGAGAAUGAUGUGAUGGACAAGACCCAAUCCUAAGCAUAGCACAAGAUCGCGUAGUUCGUUUGCUAGAGCUUUUCUAAUGUCAACUAUCAUUUCCUUAGACCAUGAGAUUGUGCAACUCCCUGAUACCGUUGGAAUGCUUUGGGUGUAUCAAACGUCACAAUGUAACUGGGUGGCUAUAAAGGUGCACUACAGGUAUCUUUGAAAGUGUCUGUUGGGUUGGCACCAAUCGAGACUGGGAUUUGUCACUCCGUAUGACGGAGAGGUAUCUCUGGGCCCACUCGGUAAUGCAUCAUCAUAAUGAGCUCAAUGUGACUAAUGAGUUAGCCAUGGGAUCAUGCAUUAUGGAACAAGUAAAGAGACUUGUCAGUAACGAGAUUGAACGAGGUAUUGGGAUACCUACGAUCGAAUCUCAGGCAAGUAACAUACCGAUGGACAAAGGGAAUUGUAUACGGGAUUGAUUGAAUCUCCGACAUCGUGGUUCAUCCGAUGAGAUCAUCGUGGAACUUGUGGGAGCCAACAUGGGUAUCCAGAUCUUGCUGUUGGUUAUUGGCUGGAGAGAUGUCUCGGUCAUGUCUGCAUGUUUCCCGAACCCGUAGGGUCUACACACUUAAGGUUCGGUGACACUAGAGUUGUUAUGGGAAAUAGUAUGUGGUUACCGAAGGUUGUUCGGGGUCCCGGAUGAGAUCCCGGACGUGACGAGGAACUCCGGAAUGGUCUGUAGGUGAAGAUCGGUAUAUUGAACGAAGUGUAUUGGAGUCCGGAAUUGUUCCGGGGGUACCGGGUGACGACCAGCGUGUCCGAAAGGGGUUUCAGAGGCCCCAACAAGCGUUGGGGGGCCUUAUGGGCCAAGGGGAGGGGGCACACCAGCCCACUAAGGGCCUGAGCGCCCCUCCCACCCCAUCUCAUGUAACCUGGAGAGGUGGGGGCGCCACCCCUAGGAUAGCCGCCCCUCUCGGCUUGGGGAACAAGUUUCCUAGGGGGUGGGGGAGCCCAAACCCAUUGUCGGGGGGAUGAACCUCGGGCAGGCAACGGAACCUGGAUCCUUUUCAAAAAUAGCGGGGCCUGCAUCGCCCCUAAAACCGGCACGCGCCCAGCCGGGUCGAUCGACCCGACCAAGCCCGCAACCCGGCCAAGCUCUCCGACCCGGCAAGGUACGUCGACCCAGCCUCAGCAACCGGCGCGAGACAACCCAACCCGGUGCAACCAAGGCUUCCCCAACAAGCCGACCCCACCCGUGGCGUGCACCGCAAUCCAACCAUGGGUCAAGCUCCUGUCCCAUCCAGGUCGUACGAUGGGAUGAGGCUUCAAUCAUCGAUGACCAAGACAACAGUGCUUGCAUCCAUGCCUAUGGUCAGCUGGAGCGUGGCAACAGUGCCCCUCACCUACCCGCUGACCGGGGCUGGCGUGGCAACAAUGCUCCCACCCUCACCGCUGACGACAGCAAGCGGUAACCUGACAGGGAGCCACUGUACAUGACUCAACCCGGCCACGCCCUGACGAUCGACAAGACGGCGCACAGUCCCCCUAGGCACGCGGGGCCCGCACCUAGGGGAACCCGGCGAACCACAAGCCCUCAGCGGGACCCAGCCCGGGAUCCCGAACACCGACAAUACGGACCCACCGACUCGGCGUAUUACCAUUGUAACCCUGGGGGGGGGUUGAUCUAUAAAACCCCCCAGGAGCCCACGCCUACAAGGGCAUGUGAGAGAUGAUAUACGGCAUACAGACUGUAAUGCACAGAAAGAAAGGCAAGCAAUCAUAGAACUAGCCACCAAAGCAACACUGGAGAGAAGGAGCAGCCCGAGCCUUGGCGAGCUUCCUUCCUCUCUGCACACAGCUCCAGGAGCAGCAUUGUACCAUCGAUCAUCCAACUACACUCGGCAGGACUAGGGGUAUUAUCUCUCCGGAGAGCCCCAAACCUGGGUAUGUCCGGCGUCCCACGCCCGCUCAUGCCAACCUCGCCUCUGGAGCCCACCAGCGCCCUCGAGCCUCCUCCUUUCUUUAGCCAUCCCUUGGCAUCUAUCGUGCGCCCACCAUGAUAGUUGGCGCCCACCGUGGGGCAGCUCGACGAGCUGGCCUGGAGCAUGCUUCAGACGGGGCCCUUCUCCUACUCCGACGAGUCCGUCGUGCUGAUGGACGAUGUCGUGGGCGCGCUCGCCGCCUCCUUCACCAUGCUGCGCAUCUCCGAUGCGUUCGCGGCCGACGAGUACCCCAACAGGUGCUCAGCUACUCCGACUCUCCCCUCUCCCUCGGCGGUGGCAUUGCCGCCGGGGCGAUGGACAUCCAUGUGGAGGUUUUCGUCACCGACGAUGGCGCCUCCUCCUUGUUGAGCAAGACGAGGAAGGCCGCGGAACGGACCAAGACGUCCGAUCCGCUGCGCGCCGCAAUGCAGAGCCUCCGCACCCCCAUUGGCACCGACGUCGAUGCCACCAACGUCGCCGAGGCCCGAUCUCAGCUCGAGGAAAGGUGCCAGCAGAUGCUGGACCUGUCCGAGACGCUCGUCGCCACCAAGCGUCACCUGGAGGCCGCUCAGCUGGAGCACGACGCCGCCCACGGAUUCGCGCCCGCCGCGCCCGAGCCAAGCCGGGUCGCCGAUGUGCAUACCCACGGAGGAGCGAUCGGCCGGGCCCUCGGCGCCAUCCGAACCGUCUACGAGACCCCAGUGAAGAACAUGCACGCUGCCCAGGCAGCCGCGGUCGGCCUGGACCGGCUCACUGGUGAAGAGCUGCAGGAGCGCAUCGGGCGGAUGCAUGAGCUCCUCAACGCAGCCAACACCCAGCAGGGUCGCCUCAACUAGCUCGCCAAGCCAGCGAGAUCAGGCUCCGCCCGCCUUGGCGGACCCAGCGAACUUUUGCACACGACGUCCUCGCCGACCGGCGAGGCGUACUCCGGCCAAGCCCGGACUCGGCGCAACCCGGCCGCCGCAGCCGCCGACGUCCUGGGCGACGAGCCCGCCCCGGAGACCCAGCAUGGACCCGGCCAGCAUGGCCAGCAUCCGGCUUCGACCGACCCGGCCCCUCAGGGCCUGGCCGCCAGUCGACUCGGCCCGCGCACCAUCGACGACACCGACGCUCACCACCGCCUUGAUUAGCUUGCUCGCUCCCAGGAGGUGGAGGAGAGCGCCGCUAUCGGGCCGGCGUUGAUUUCUACUACACAACCUUCUUCUUGUAGACGUUAUUGGGCUUGCAAGUGCACAGGUUUGUAGGACAGUAGCAAAUUUCCCUCAAGUGGAUGACCUAAGGUUUAUCAAUCCGUAGGAGGCGUAGGAUGAAGAUGGUCUCACUCAAACAACCCUGCAACCAAAUAACAAAAAGUCUCUUGUGUCCCCAACACACCCAAUACAAUGGUAAAUUGUAUAGGUGCACUAGUUCGGCGAAGAGAUGGUGAUACAAGUGCAAAAUAGAUAGUAGAUAUAGGUUUUUGUAAUCUGAAAUAAUAAAAACAGCAAGAGAGCGAGUGAUAAAAGUGAGCGUAAACGGUAUUGCAAUGAUAGGAAACAAGGCCUAGGGUUCAUACUUUCACUAGUGCAAGUUCUCUCAACAAUAAUAACAUAGAUAGAACAUAUGACAAGCCCUCAACAAGCAACAAAGAGUCACUCCAAAGACACUAAUAGAGGAGAACAAACGUAGAGAUUAUGGUAGGGUACGAAACCACCUCAAAGUUAUUCGUUCGGAUCGAUCUAUAAAAGAGUUCGUACUAGAAUAACACCUUAAGACACAAAUCAACCAAAACCCUAAUGUCACCUAGAUACUCCAUUGUCACCUCAAGUAUCCGUGGGCAUGAUUAUACGAUAUGCAUCACACAAUCUCAGAUUCAUCCAACCAACAUAAAAGUACUUCAAAGAGUGCCCCAAAGCUACUACCAGAGAGUCAAGAACGUGUGCCAACCCCUAUGCAUAGGUUCCCAAUGUCACGAAACCCGCAAGUUGAUCACCAAAACAUACAUCAAGUGGCACAUGAUAUCCCAUUGUCACCACAGAUAAUCACGGCAAUACAUACAUCAAGUGUUCUCAUAAAAGACUCAAUCCGAUAAAAUAACUUCAAAGGGGAAACUCAAUUCAUCACAAGAGAGUAGAGGGGGAGAAACAUCAUAAGAUCCAACUACAAUAGCAAAGCUCGGGAUACAUCAAGAUCGUGCCAUAGAGGGAACACGAGAGAGAACACGAGAGAGAGAGAUCAAACACAUAGCUACUGGUACAUACCCUCAGCCCCGAGGGUGAACUACUCCCUCCUCGCCAUGGAUAGCGCCGGGAUGAUGAAGAUGGCCACCGGUGAUGGGAUCCCCCUCCGGCAGGGUGCCGGAACAGGGUCCUGAUUGGUUUUUGGUGGCUACAGAGGCCUGCGGCGGCGGAACUCCCGAUCUAUCUUCUGUUCUGGAAGUUUUUGGGUACGUAGGUAUAUAUGGGUGAAAGGAGAACGUCGAUGGAGCUACGGGGGCCCCACGAGGCAGGGGGGUGCACCCAGGGGGGGGGCGCCCCCACCCUCAUGAGCACCUCCCGUAUCUUCUGACGUGGGGUCCAAGUCCAUCAGGUGGGUUUCCUUCCAAAAAUAACUUCUCCAGUUGAUUUCGUUCCGUUUUGACUCCGUAUGAUAUUCCUUUUCCUCGAAACGCUGAAAUAGUCAUAAAAUAACGAAUCUGGGCUGGGCCUCCGGUUAAUAUUUUAGUCCCAAAAAUAAUAUAAAAGUGGAUAAUAAAGCCCAAUAUUGCCUAAAACAGUAGAUAAAAGUAGCAUGGAGAAAUCAAAAAUUAUAGAUAUGUUGGAGACGUAUCAGGCGUGCUUCAGCCCAUGCAUCCGGGAGGAGUCCUUCCCCAAAGGGUUCAUGCUCCCCCGCGACACCCCCAAGUACAACGGGACCGUGAAGCCAGAAGACUGGCUCACCGACUACACCACGACCAUUGGCAUCACCGGUGCCAAUCACCGUCUCACUGUGCGCUACGCACCGCUCAUGUUACAGGGGUCGGCCCGCACGUGGGUGAAGAGUCUGCCGAUGGGCAGCAUCAACGUGUGGGUCAAUUUCAAGGAGGCCUUCAUCCGCAACUUCACGGGGACCUACAAGUGACCCGGUCGCCCCAGCCAACUCACCAUGUGCGUAUAGGGGCCGACGGAGACCGGUCGUGGGUACCUCGCACGCUGGACCAAGCUCCGAAACAGCUGCGAGGGCGUCCAUGAAGUCCAAGCAAUCCAAUACUUCGUCAGCGGGUGCCGAGACGGCACCCUUCUCAAGCACAAGCUCUUACGCUUCGAGCCGGCCACCAUGGCCGUGCUCAUGGUAACGACGGAUAAAUACGCAAACACCAACUCCACCAUGAAGAUCCAGGUGGCACUGGACGAAGCCGGCAAGGCAAAGCCAGUUCCUCCUCCGAAGACGGCCGGCGAAAGCAGCCGGCAGCAGCAUCACCAGAACAACAAGCGCAAGGCCGACCAGCCGGCGCAGCGUCACGACAACUGGCUCAUAGCGGCCGCCGAGACCGCGGCGGACCCGGCGGCGAAGCGCCGGCAGACCGGCAAGAUGGCAUGGCAACCUGCCAUGAGUUUCGAAGAGAUGCUCGACGCCCCAUGCAAGCACCACAGCGGCGCAAGACCCUCCACACACACAUGCUUCGGCAGUGCGCCAUCACCAAGCGCAUCAUGAGGGGCGACGUCCCGCCUCCUCCGGCUCCGGCUCCAGCUCCAGGCGCGGGAUAGCCACCUCCGCCUCCACCGCCGCCUCCCGCUAGCAGCGCGAUGCGCAACGACGCCUACCCGGACCAGAACGCGGCCUACGUCGUCUUCAACAGCCUCGGCAACGACAAGCGCAGCGAGCGCCUCCUUCGGCACGAGGUAAACACCGUCGUCCCAGACAAGCCGGAGUUCAUGCACUGGUCGGAUCGCUCGAUCACCUGGACCCGGGAGGAUCACCCGGCGCUGAUGCUGAAUCCGGGUGGUUACGCCCUCGUGCUCAACCCAACCAUCGUCGCGCGGCACACGUGCAAGUUCUCCCAAGUCCUCAUCGACAGCGGCACAACAUCAACAUCCUCUACCGCAACACAAUGACCAAGCUCGGCCUCAAGGCCGAGGACCUGGAGCCGACCCGGACGAUCUUCCACGGCAUUGUGCCCGACCUCUCCUGCUCUCCCAUCGGCUGGGUCCAGCUCGAUGUCCUGUUCAGUGAUAGCAGCCACUUCCGGCGCGAACCAAUCUGGUUCGAGGUGGUGGACAUGUCUAGUGCGUAUCAUGCGCUGCUGGGCCGGCCCGCGCUCGCCAAGUUCAUGGCGGUUCCCCACUACGCGUAUCUGAAGAUGAAGAUGCCGGGUCCCAAAGGCCUCAUCACCAUCAUCAGCGAUUACCGCAAGUCCUUGGAGUGCGCCCGAGACGGCGCCAAGUUGGCCGAGUCGCUGGUCGUAGCCGAGGAGCGGCGCCAACUCGACCGGAUCGUUGCCAUGGCAGGCGAAGCCUCGGUCGCGUCAAUCCCGGUCAAGGACCCGGCCGAUGAAGCCGCCUUCAAGCCCUCCAAGGAGACCAAGAAAGUGAAGCUCAACCCGGAAGACCCCAACUGCAGCAAGUACGUUGUCGUAGGCGCUCGCCUCGACAACAAAUAGGAAGUCGAGCUCGUCGACUUCCUCCGUGAGAAUCGGGAUAUCUUCGCAUGGACCCCCAAGGACAUGCCGGGUAUCCCGAGGAAGUACGCCGAGCACAAACUUCAUGUCCGCAAGGACGCCAAGCCUGUCCGUCAACCCCUCCGACGAUUUUCCAAAGAGAAGAGAAGAACCAUUGGUGAAGAGGUCGCCAAGCUUUUGGUGGCCGACUUCAUAAUGGAAGUGUUUCACCCUGAGUGGCUGGCCAACCCAGUCCUCGUCCUGAAGAAGAACAAGACCUGUCGCAUGUGUAUCGACUACACCAGCCUCAACAAGGCCUGUCCCAAGGAUCCGUUUGCUCUCCCACGGAUCGACCAAGUCAUCGACUCGACCGCCGGGUGCGAGGUCCUGUCCUUCCUGGAUGCCUACUCUAACUACCACCAGAUCAAGCUGGACCCGACCGAUGCCCUGAAGACGUCCUUCAUCACGCCCUUUGGGGCGUAUUGCUACAUCACCAUGUCGUUCGGCUUGAAGAACGUCGGCGCCACCUUCCAACGCUACAUGCAGAAAUGCCUGCUACCGCAACUCGGCCGCAAUAUCCACAUGUAUGUGGACGACAUCAUGGUGAAGACCAAGCAGCACCUCACGCUCCUCGAUGAUUUGAAGGAAACAUUUACCAACCUCCGCGAAUACAAGGUCAAGCUUAACCCGGAAAAGUGCGUCUUCGGCGUCCCAUUCGGAAAGCUACUCGGCUUCCUCGUCUCAGAACGCGGCAUUGAGGCGAACCCAGAGAAGAUCAAGGCCAUCGAGCACAUGCACAAGCCAGCUCGGUUGCGCGAUGUCCAGAAGUUCACCGGAUGCUUGGCCUCGGUCAGCCGGUUUCUAAGCCGGCUGGGCGAGAGGGCGCUACCCCUGUACUAGCUGAUGAAGAACACAAGCCCGUUCGAAUGGAACGACAAGGCAGACGAGGCCUUCCAAGACCUCAAGUGCAUGCUCUCCACCGCACCAGUCCUAGCUGCACCGACCGACCAGGAGUCGCUGUUGCUCUACAUAGCCGCGACCUCGCGGGCGGUCAGCACGGUGCUGGUGGUCGAGCGACCAAAGAAGGGCAAGAUCCAAGCCGUCCAGCGCCCGGUCUACUACCUGAGCGAGGUGCUCUCCAUCUCCAAGCAGAACUGCCCGCGCUACCAGAAGAUGUGUUAUGACGUGUACCUCACCGCCAAGAAGCUGAAGCAGUACUUCCAAGAGCACGUCGUCACCAUCGUCAGCACGGCGCCUAUCGGAGAAAUCAUCGGGUGCCGGGACGCCUCUGGCCGGGUCACCAAGUGGGCGAUCCAGCUAGCCGGCCACACCAUUCUCUACGAGCCCCGCACCACGAUCAAGUCUCAAGCCCUAGCCGACUUCCUCGUCGACUGGACCGAGACCCAGUACUUGCCGUCGCCUCCCGACUCGAUGCAUUGGCGCAUGCAUUUCGACGGGUCCAAGUUGCGGCUCGGCCUGGGGCCCAGCAUCGUACUGUCGUCCCCGAAGGGCGACCGACUCCGCUAUGCGCUCCAGAUCCACUUUGCCGCCUCCAACAACGUCGCCGAAUAUGAAGCCCUUGGUGCACGGCCUCCAGCUUGCCAAGGAACUCGGCAUCCGACGCAUCCUGUGCUACGGCGACUCAGACCUGAUAGUGCAGCAGUGCUCUAGCGAAUGGGAUGCCCGCGACUCCAACAUGGCAAGCUACCGCUUCGUCAUCCAGAAGCUGUCCGGAUCCUUCGAGGGCUGCGAGUUCCUCCAUGUCCCACGCGCGGAGAACAAAGCAGCCGACACGCUCGCCAAGAUCGCCUCGUCCCUUCAAGCCAUCCCAUCCGGCGUCUCCCUCGAGCACCUGCGCAAGCCGUCCGUCAAGCCGUCGCCGGACUCCGAGUCCAUCCAUGUUCCAGACGACCCGACCGCACCUCAAGCCGGCCCGGGGUAUGCUGAACCCGGCCCGGGGGCUGCUCAGCUCAACCCGGCCACCAACGCCCCGGACCCGGCCAUUGCCAUCCCCGACCCAGGGGCUGCUCAACCCGACCCAGAGGCUGGCGACUCGGAACCCACCCUGGUGACCGUCUUCGCCGUGGUUACGGCUCCAUCUUGGGCCCUCCCAAUAUCAGAAUUCUUGGAGAGCGGGGUUCUCCCCAUGGAUGAGACCGAAGCUCGGCAAGUGCAGCGCCGGGCGUCCGCCUACAGCAUCAUCAACAGUGAGCUCGUCAAGCGCAGCUCCACCGGCGUGUUCCAGCGCUGCGUCGAGCAGGAACAAGGCAUCGACAUCCUCCUCGACAUUCACUAGGGCGAGUGCGGGCACCACGCCGCAUCGCAAUCCCUGGUGGCCAAGGAGUUCCGCCACGGUUUCUACUGGCCCAUGGCCCUCGAAGACGCAGAGUCGCUCGUUCUAAAAUGUGAGGGGUGCCAGCGCUUCAGCAAACGCAGCCACCAGCCGGCGUCAGCACUCCGCACCAUACCGAUCGCCUGGCCCUUCGCGGUCUGGGGACUCGACAUGGUGGGACCCUUCAAAACCACUCGAGGCGGCAUGACGCACUUGCUGGUGGCAGUGGACAAAUUCACCAAGUGGAUCGAGGCAAGACCAAUCAAGAAACUCGACGGGCCAACAGCCGUCCGGUUUAUCAAGGACAUAGCGGUGCGCUACGACAUGGCGAACAACAUCAUCACCGACAACGGCACCAACUUCGCCAAAGGUGCGCCCGAGCAAUACUGCUCUGUCUCCGGCAUCCGCCUCGACCUGGCCUUCGUUGCACAUCCGCAGUCCAACGGGCAGGUCGAGCGGGCCAACGGACUCAUCCUGUCUGGCGUCAAGCCGCGACUUGUCGAGCCACUCAUCCGCUCACCCGGCAGCUGGCUUGACGAGUUGCCGGCCGUUCUCUGGAGUCUACGCACCCCGCCGAAUCGGUCGACCGGGUUCACCCUGUUCUUCCUCGUUUAUGGAGCCGAAGCCGUCAUCCUGACCGAUGUCGAGUUGGACUCGCCGCGCGUCGCGAUGUACACCGAAGCCUAAGCCAGAGAAGCCCACGAAGAUGGCAUCGACCUACUCGAAGAAGCACGCCUCCUGGCGCUCAGUCGUUCGGCCAUCUACCAGCAAGGCCUAAGGCACUACCACAGCAAGAAGAUCAAGCCCCUCGCGUUCCGCAAGAGUGACCUCGUCCUCCGACCCGUCCAAGAACAGGCAGGCCAGCACAAGUUGUCCCCUCCAUGGGAGGGCCCAUUCAUCGUGAGCAGGGCCUUACGCGACCGCAACGCCUACUACCUCAUCGACACACACAAGUCGAAGAAGCGCAAGAAGGACACCGCCGGUGAAGAAACGACCCGGCCGUGGAACGCGGAACUCCUCCGCCCGUUUUACAGUUAGCCGCACGAGUGUAUGUAUCGUCGCCUUUUGUAAACGCAUGAAACUAUGGGGUCCCCGAACGAGACUUGGGGGCUGCCUUUUGUCGAGCAAUUUAUUUGUGUCCCUAUUUUCCUGCAUCACUAUAACACUGAACCCGGCCACCUGUCCGACUCGCUCGACCCGGGGGCUGGCCGGCUCGACCGCCACCUCGCCACCUUACUUGGUGAUUCCUGAUAAAGUUAGGAUGCCGCGGCCCCCCACUUCGCCCUAAAGCCACAGAUCCAGCUUUGGCUGUCGGCUAGCAAGCACAAUGGGCCAAAGCUCCUUUACGCUUCAUACACUAAGUCAAAGGCUGCCCGGUCGAUCAACUCGGCCCGCCUCUUAUCAAAUAAGCAUCCGCACGACCGACUUCUCGCCAACCGGCCUCGACAGAUUGCCGUCAGCCGGCCCAGUGGGUGUUUCGCUCGCGCUCAAUGUUUUGAUGGACCCAAGUCCUGCGCGCUCCUCUCGAAGAAUCGAACUCCUUGUCACGGACCGGAGCCUCGACCGUCUGACUCGCGGGGGGGGGGAGGUUUUGAAAAAGGAAAAGUGCAUGAAAUCGGUCCAAAAAAGCGGAAGGCGAGAGCGAAAGCACUCACGACAUUUACACACAAAUAUUUAAGAAAAGUCCCACAGCCAGAGUUCAUUACACCCUAAAACCCCCAGUGGGUGGGUGGACCUGCUACUUAACAAAUUUUACAAAGUGUCUCAGGCAUCUCCAGCGCCACGUCGCGACGUCGACGGCCCUCCCCUGGCGGCCUCAGGGUCCAGCGAGGCACCGGUGUCCUCCUCGGCAUCCGUGUCGCGGUAGGCACCCGUCUCCUCCGAGCUCCCCUCCGGAUCAUGGAGAAGCAAGCCGAAGUCGUCGCUGUCCACGACCCUGCCGUCUUCCGUCCGCUCCGGAUGGAUUUCGUCGUGGAAGACGAACUCGGGGAUGUAGCUGUCCUGGGAGGCGAUCCGACCGGCUUGCUCCUGCAACAACUGCUCCGAGCCGGCCCGCUGGCCCAUCAGCGCGUCCAGCUGAAGGUCCGGAUGCCAAGACAGCGCGAACCGAAGCGCCAUCUCAGCACCGGCACGAGCGGCGGAGACGCGCCACUCGCCAAGCCGGUCCAGUCCCAUCUCCAACCAGCGCGCCAGGCACGUGAAGCUGCUCGGCACGACGGCACCCGGCCAAAGGGCCGCCGUCAUCGCAGUGCCGACCUGGGACAGCCGCCCCAUCCGCGUUCUCAAGACCAGCAGGCGGGCCUCAGCAGCGGCGAUGAUCUCCAGGAAGGUCCAGGCCACCCGCGGAUCUGUCCCAGACCCAGCAACGCCGGUCGGGUCGCGCUGAUAGCGGAUGGCUUCCUCCGCCAGCCGCUGCAUCUCCGGGAAGGCCCCUGCCGCAAAGUGAUACGUCUCCAACGUAUCUAUAAUUUAUGAAGCAUUCAUGCUAUAUUAUUAUCUGUUUUGAAUGAUUAUGGGCUUUAUUAUACACUUUUAUAUUACUUUUGGGACUAACCUAUUAACCGGAGGCCCGGCCCAUAUUGCUGUUUUAUUGCCUGUUUUAGUAUUUUGAAGAAAAGGAAUAUCAAACGGAGUCCAAAUGGAAUGAAACCUUCGGCAACGUUAUUUUUGGGAAGAAUAGGAUCCUGGAGACUUGGAGUGUACGUCAGAAGAUCCUCGAGGAGGCCAGGAGAUAGGGGGCGCCCCUGAUAGAGUAUUUCCUCAUAUAAUAUUUUUAGCCUUCUUGCAUCAAAUUGUAAUCAUAUUUUCACAUUAUUUACUCGAAAGAUAUUCAAAUACUCAUAUUAUGUCACAUUUACAACACUACUCCAUCUUUUGCAGAAAAGGGUGAUAAGGCCCAAAUCCUUCUAUAUUGGAGUGUCUAAGACGUUGCGGUUGCUGCAUUUUGCAGAGGGACUCGAGUGUGAAGAAGAAUUAACCUACAUGGGCUAGCUGAAGAAGAAGGGGACCAACUUGGGAAGAAAGAAGAAAACAAGGAGGGCUAAACAAGGAGAAUGCAGAUCUGAUCGAGAGGGGUAAAAUCCCCAGCCAUCUUCUUCGAUCCCCUUAGGCCUGGCAUCUCUAUCUCCCUCACCCUACUUCUCCACCUCCGGCCGCCGCCACGGCCAGGCCGGCGUGGUUGUCUGCCUCCCACCUCAUCACCAUCUCCAUCCACCACUCCCCGAAGCCAUCCAUCUCCACCGUCCGCGCCAAGCACCACCAGCACCACUCCAUCUCCACCGCGCCUUCACCAUCACCUCGCGCGCCCUACCAGACGCGGUGGUCUAGUGCCUCGCGCGACCUCUCCCUCCAGCCGGCGCGCCUCUCCCUGCUGUUUCCCCAACUUCUUCUUCCCUUUGCUGCUCCUCCACCUCUCCUCGUCCCCCAAACUGCUUGCUGCUUCUCCUUCUAUGAACCCUUGCUGCUGCUGCCGCUUCUUCUUGCGCCCUCCGUUGCUGCUGCUCUCUUCUCCCACGUCUUUGCUGCUGCUCCUCUUCUUGCGUCCCUGCUGAUUCCUCUCCUUCCCCUUGCUGCUGCUCCUCCUUCUCUCCAAAACUGCUGCUGCUCCCUCUCCCAUGAACCUGCUGCUACUCUUCUCUCCUUGCUGCUCCUAGUUCUUCUCUGAACUAAAACUGCUGCUGCUUCUCUCCUCUCUUACUUCUUGCAAAUUUCUGAAAACUGCUAGGUGAACCUUGUGUAAUAUUCAGAUUUGUGCCUUGAGAUGCUUAUGUAAUAUUCAGAUUUGAAGUGUACUUGCAAUCUGCUGUUUGCUCUGUUUAAGUACUUGUAUAAUAUAGUGUAUGUGUUUUGAGAUCUGACUAGUUGAGGCUUUGUUACUUUGAGAGAUACUUGAUCUAUCAUAUUUUGGUUUUGUCAAUUGGUAUUCUGCUAGUAUGUGUGUGUGUGUGUGUGUGUGUAAUUCAUCAAAACAAAUUGUUGUGUGCUGAUGAUUAAUGUCCAGUUUACUGUUCCUGCGAUAUAUACAUAUGUGUGUUUGUGAUGUGAUACAUAUAUACCUGUGAUUUUAUUUUGUAGUGAGACUGCUCUUUGUGAAGUCAGAGGUGUGAUUGUUUUUAAUCUCAAGUUCAAUGUGCUAGCUAUGCACCAGUGACAUAUGUGACAUGUAUAUGUGAUGUGAAACAAUUGUAUGCUGUCCCUAAUCUUGUUCCUUCCGCGUGUCUUAUACUUGCUAGUUUUAUAUACAUAUAUGUGUUCUUGUCUUGUUAGUUCCCUUUGUUGAAGUUGUCCCCCUGUAGUUUUUAUUUCUCAAGUUCUAGGAAAACACCAAAAAGAUAGUAAGUAAUCUGAACCUCCCUUUGCUAUUUUGCAUUUUCUUUGUGGAUUAUCUUCGGGAACAAUCAUUGUUAGUUUAGAUUCUUAUUUUCUGCAUUUAUCUCUUAAAAUUUUGCUUCCUAGCUUUAGCCGAGCAUAGUCGUCGUCGCCUAGUCCCUGUGGAGAACACGACAUCCGUAGUUUGGGGCGUAAAACCCCCGCUAUACUUUCAAUUGAUCAUUUUGGCGCCGUUGCCGGGGACUAGCGUCGAGCGUUUGUGUGAGGCUUUAGACUAGGUUUAGCUUGUUUCCUUUUUGUGCUUUAUAUAUUUGUGAUAUAUCUCUAGCCACUAACCCCUGUUCUAGUUAGUAUCUUUUUGUCUUCUUUUCCUUUUUGCAGGUUGGAUUAUCCUCUCGGUUAUGGCUUACUAUUCAGAUCAUCAGGCUUAUGCGAGCAACACUACAAACAACACGAAAAGUGUUCAAGAACUGAUAGGUAAGAUUUCCCAUCGAUUAGAUGAUUUAGCUCGGCAGCGAGAAGGAGUUUUUGAGGAUAGGCCUAGCUCUUAUGAUCCUUAUUCUAGAGGCUAUCCUUAUGUUGCUCCUACCUGCCAUAUUUGUGGAUUUUAGGGCCAUUCGCCCGCUGAAUGUCAGCGUGGUUACUCCCAUCCUCCGGAUUGUUUUGGCAUGAGCUUCGCUCAACAGCAUAGCUCAUACCAAAACAAUUACACACAUGGGUGGCCUGAAAACCAGAAUAUGUCAUAUAGGAGCAAUAACCCUGAGAUCUCAUCGUUUGCUUCUAGUAAUCAUAUGCAGGGAUUUAGGUACAAUGAGGAGAGCCACAACUAUGCACCACAACAAUUCCAUUCAGCUCCUACUCAUAUACCACAACACCAGGAGAUGUGUCCAAUGGAGUUAAAUGGUCCUCCAUUUGGUCAACCAACAACUCCAGCACCUGUUGUGCAAUCUCAUGUGCAAGUGCCCACACAAGAUGAGUUAGAUGACAUAGACAAGCUCACACUUUUGAGUCUCGAGUUCACUUGGAGUGCCGAGGAUGAUCCUAUUAGGAAGGUUAUACUAGAGGAAAUGAAGAAGAUUAAGAGUGGAAAGGAGCUAGUCGAAGAAGUAAGGAAGAUUGAGAAGAACAUCAACGCUGGCAGCACUAUUUCUUCACAACUUGAGUUGAGUGUGGCUGAGAUAUCCAUGGAUACAUGUGAGGUUCCAACACCUUCACAUUUCGUUGAGCAAGAUAGCAAGUGCCUUGAGCAAGAGAUACCUCAGAUUGUAGAAGAUGAACUAGAAGACAAGGAACAAGAUGGUCAAGAGCUGCAAUUCCCAAGUGAUCAAGUUGAAGACUCAUCAUCUAUUACUCCUGAUGAAGUACAAGAAGCUGCUGUAGAUGAAGAUGAAGAACAUGAGAUUCAUUGGCCUAUUAUCAUACAUGAGCAUGAUGUGUCAGGUUUACUCAAUCCUCUUGAUGACAUGAUGCCUUGUGAUUUCUUUGCUACUACCUUGCAUUACAUGAUACCAUCACUUAAGAUUGAUUUGAAAAAUCAUUUGCUUGGAUAUGAUGAUAUAUACCCUGUUAGUGGCAUUACUCUCAUUUGUGAUGAUCAUAGUUACUUUCCUCGUGCUAGUCCUAUGCUAAAUGAAACAUAUCAUUCCCAUGCUAGUCUUGAGCUUAAUGAUAAAUAUCAUCCUCAUGUUAGUGUUGACCUUGCUGAUUUCUACCAUCCUAAACAUGUGCUUUAUAGCUAUGCUUAUGUAAUUGGAUAUUCGAUUGAUGACUUGGAGGGUAUUAUCCCUACCACUUGCAUUGUCUCUUUGGUUGAGUGCUCUUUCAGGUUGUUGCUUGUGCACGAUCCACUACAUGCUGACCAGGUUCGAGGUGACAUUCCUUGGGAUCCUGGUGGAGUCAGAGCAUGGCGAUGAGGAGAAGCAAUGGGGCACACAUAUGGAAGAGUGAAGCUGGAGCAUCCAUGAGGAAUCAAGGGAGAAGAGCUGCAGCUGGUGAGGUGAUCGAGCGAGUGCUACAUGAUCAAAGCCCGGUGAGCUGUUUCAUGACCCAUUCCUAGUAUAUCAUCCAUUGAUACAUGCUGAAAUCAAAUGUUAUUUGGGUUGCUUAAGCCAUGUCUUAAAUGUUGCCCUACUGAAUUUUACUUGACAUAUGGUGCUUGAUGAGAAUAUGUGAACUGAGUGUUGAAUGCCUGGUAAACUAGUGAUCUAUACAAUGCUUGCUUUGCUGAAAGUAGUGGAAGUUAUUAGUUUUGAGUGCUCAAAUCCCUAGUAUACUAGAAAACUUAAUCAUUUUCUGCUUUUAACUCGAUACACCUAGAUCACCACGUUUAGAUGCUGAAUUUGUGCUAAGUGUGUUCCCAUUGAGAGCAAUCACCUAACAACUAUGGAUUAGCAUGCUAUGUUCCCUGGAUCGGUAGCAUGUGAACCAGACAUGGAGAAGUGAUGAUUCCUAUUUCUGUGCUUAUGUGUUGUUCAUUUAAGAUAAGUAAUAAUGAAUAAAUAAGUCUGACUACCUACAGUAGCAUGUCAUGUUCCCGGGAUCGGUGGCAUGUGAAAUCGGGUUAGCUUGGGCAGUAAUUAAUAAUAAAAAAAUGUAAUUGUCGAACCAGGUGUAUACCAUGUUCUCGGGAUCGGUGGUAUGUUCCUUUGGGGAGACAAACAAAAAAAACUAAUAAUUGGUCGAGCCAGGUGUAUACUAUGUUCUCGGGAUUGGUGGUAUGUUCCUAUGGUGAGACUAAUAAUAAUAUAAUCAUUGCUUUAUCUCUGUAAAUAAGUGAUUUGAUCACAAGAUUUAAUUCCAGUUCAUUUUGUUCUUGGGAUCAUGCUCUCUUUAGGAACCUUUGGCACAAUCAUCAUUUGAACUUGUUGAUCCCACUUUUAUCAUUGUAAAAGUUUAAAAUGAUUGAGUCUACUAGUAUCCUACUGCUUUGAAGCACUCCUGACCAUUGAUUUUCACUAGCAAAGUUCAAAGCAUGCUUUGUUUGGAGAUCUACUUCACUUGGCAUUCUCUAGUCAGCUCACUGUUCACAAUCUUGCUCUUGUCAUAUUUCUUUGCUUGAGGACAAGCAAAGAUUUAAGUGUGGGGGAACUUGAUAGAGUAUUUCCUCAUAUAAUAUUUUUAGCCUUCUUGCAUCAAAUUGUAAUCAUAUUUUCACAUUAUUUACUCGAAAGAUAUUCAAAUACUCAUAUUAUGUCACAUUUACAACACUACUCCAUCUUUUGCAGAAAAGGGCGAUAAGGCCCAAAUCCUUCUAUAUUGGAGUGUCUAAGAGGUUGCGGUUGCUGCAUUUUGCAGAGGGACUCGAGUGUGAAGAAGAAUUAACCUACAGGGGCUAGCUGAAGAAGAAGGGGACCAACUUGGGAAGAAAGAAGAAAACAAGGAGGGCUAAACAAGGAGAAUGCAGAUCUGAUCGAGAGGGGUAAAAUCCCCAGCCAUCUUCUUCAAUCCCCUUAGGCCUGGCAUCUCUAUCUCCCUCACCCUACUUCUCCACCUCCGGCCGCCGCCACGGCCAGGCCGGCGUGGUGGUGCGCCUCCCACCUCAUCACCAUCUCCAUCCACCACUCCCCGAAGCCAUCCAUCUCCACCGUCCGCGCCAAGCACCACCAGCACCACUCCAUCUCCACCGCGCCUUCACCAUCACCUCGCGCGCCCUACCAGACGCGGUGGUCUGGUGCCUCGCGCGACCUCUCCCUCCAGCCGGCGUGCCUCUCCCUGCUGUUUCCCAACUUCUUCUUCCCUUUGCUGCUCCUCCACCUCUCCUCGUCCCCCAAACUGCUUGCUGCUUCUCCUUCUAUGAACCCUUUCUGCUGCUGCCGCUUCUUCUUGCGCCCUCCACUGUUACUGCUCUCUUCUCCCACGUCUUUGCUGCUGCUCCUCUUCUUGCGUCCCUGCUGAUUCCUCUCCUUCCCCUCGCUGCUGCUCCUCCUUCUCUUCAAAACUGCUGCUGCUCCCUCUCCCACGAACCUGCUGCUGCUCUUCUCUCCUUGCUGCUCCUAGUUCUUCUCUGAACUAAAACUGCUGCUGCUUCUCUCCUCUCUUACUUCUUGCAAAUUUCUGAAAACUGCUAGGUGAACCUUGUGUAAUAUUCACAUUUGUGCCUUGAGAUGCUUAUGUAAUAUUCAGAUUUGAAGUGUACUUGCAAUCUGCUGUUUGCUCUGUUUAAGUACUUGUAUAAUAUAGUGUAUGUGUUUUGAGAUCUGACUAGUUGAGGCUUUGUUACUUUGAGAGAUACUUGAUCUAUCAUAUUUUGGUUUUGUCAAUUGGUAUUCUGCUAGUAUGUGUGUGUGUGUGUGUAAUACAUCAAAAAUAUUGUUGUGUGCUGAUGAUUAAUGUCCAGUUUACUGUUCCUGCGAUAUAUACAUAUGUGUGUUUGUGAUGUGAUACAUAUAUAC
rnacentral:lncRNA from 1 species